UGGGAUGAUGGAUAAGGCUAACAAUGCAGCCCAAUCUACCAAGGAGACAAUGCAAGAUGUUGGUCAGAAUGUGCAGGCGAAGGCUCAAGGAGCUGCUGAUGCAGUCAAGAAUGCCACUGGCAUGAACAAAUGAAGCUGCUCAUGAUGAUCAUUUUCAUGACUUUUAAUGACUUUAUAGAGUUAAGAUGAUGGCAAACUUUCAUUUAGUUUUAUAGACUUUUAUGUCUAUUUUUUUUUUUCUGUCUUACCCUUCUUUUGAAAGAAGGAAUUGAAAAUUGCAUAGAAUUAUAAAAUAAUGGAAUUUAGAUCUUCAUCAUUUUAAGUUAUGGCAAUUAAUAAUUUCAGGGUUCAAAUUUAUGUAUAUCGAAUUUUGCAAAUGAAAAAUGAAAUUUCAGGAUUAAAAGAAUUCCUUCACUCAAUAGUGAAAUGAUGUCUCUUUUGAAUGAAAUUAAACCCAGAAAUCUUGAGUGCUUGACUUUUGUGCUAAAAUAGCCAAACAGUGAAAAUAUUAAAUUCUACUCUUCAAUUCUUUACUUUUAGCUAAAUAAUUAACGUAGGGUAAUAGCAGUAUGUAGUAUGACCAAAAGAAAACGAAUUCUAAUAUUAUCUUUUGAUCAUGAUGAAUUAACUCAUGAGAUCUAUAUAACCAAAAUAAUUAUUCAUGUAGAGAUUGAUGAAUAUCAAUUAUGAAUUCGUUGGGUUGAAUAUCAAUUAUGAAUUCGUUGGGUUAGAGACUUUUUCACCUCAGAUUUCUAAAGGUCUCAUUCUGGGCCUUGGUGCCUUAGGGAUUUUUGAAAUAUCCACCAGUUGACCAAACACAUUAAAAUACACUCAAGUCAAGAGAACCAAACUAACACAAAAAUACAGAAUGUGAAUGAACUUGGGGUAACUAUCAAGUAGAAAAAUUUAUAUAGAGCUAGUGUAUGCAGUAUUUUCCUCGUAAUAAGUGUUCACAUAACUAAGCACAUGAAAGAAUGUAGCGUGCAUGAAAGAGCUAGUGUAUGCAUUAUUUUUCUCAUAAUAAGUGGUCACAUAACUAAGCACAGGAAAGAAUAUAGCGUGUAUGAUGAUGUAUAAAACUCGUUACACAUAAGAUUUUUUGCGGUUAAAGACAAAAUGCACACUUGCCCAUAAACUGAAGGAUAAUAUCGCUUUUUAACUCAUGUGGAGGAUAACCCAACAAGUUUAUUAGCAUUUACUCAUAAGAUGUUCUGGCCUUUCAAUCAAAUAAAAAUAUCUCGUGGAUUGUGGAACAGUCUUGUGAAUUGUAAUUAAUUGAUAAUAUAAUCCAAUAUUACAAGAAUUCCAUAAUGCUGAAAAAAGUAAUUUCCAUUCACAAAACUAUAUAAGAAACCCUCAGAAUAGCAACUUUUAAGACUCAACAGCCUUCCUGGUCAAAAGGCUCACCCUAAGUUAUUGGCGACACGUGUUAUGGUCCAAAACCAUGACCAGGAUGAAAUGUGUGCAUGACAUCACACAUGUCGAGCAUUCAGCGGGUCUAAAAUCGUAUAUAAACCAUACCUAACCGUGAGAGAUUCAUCAUCAUCCAAUCAAAUUUGAGUUAUAACAACUUCAUCUGAUUUCCAAGUGUUUUCAAGAAAACAAAGCAAGAAGAAAAUGGCUGACAACUCUCAAAAGAUGAGCUACCAUGCUGGAGAGGCCAAGGGCCAAGCUCAGGUAAUUAGCUCACCUGUAAAUUGUAAUUCUCCAUUUAUUUUUGCUUCUUUCUUUGGUUUUCUUUUAUAUUAAAUUGGGAUGUUUUGUAUUGGAUAAUUUUGGAUUUAAUAGGAGAAGGCCAGUGGGAUGAUGGAUAAGGCUAACAAUGCAGCCCAGUCUACCAAGGAGACAAUGCAAGAUGUUGGUCAGAAUGUGCAGGCGAAGGCUCAAGGAGCUGCUGAUGCAGUCAAGAAUGCCACUGGCAUGAACAAAUGAAGCUGCUCAUGAUGAUCAUUUUCAUGACUUUUAAUGACUUUAUAGAGUUAAGAUGAUGGCAAACUUUCAUUGAGUUUUAUAGACUUUUAUGUAAUUUUUUCUUUCUUUCUUACCCUUCUUUUGAAAGAAUGAAUUGAAAAUUUCAUAGAAUUCUAAAAUGAUGGAAUUUAGAUCUCCAUCAUUUUAAGUUACGACAAUUAAUAUAAUUUCAGUGUUCGGAUUUAUGUAUAUCGAAUUUUACAAUUGAAAUUUCAGGGAAAAACGAAUUCCUUCACUCAAUAGAAAUUAUGAAAUGACUUCUCUUUUGAUUGAAAUUAAACUCAGAAAUCUUGAGUGCUUAACGUUCGUGCCAAAGUAGCCAAACAAUGGAAAUAUUAAAUUCUACUCUUCAAUUCUUAACUUUUAGCUAAAUAAUUAACGUAGGGGAAUAGCAGUAUGUAGUAUGACCACAAGAAAACAGAUUCUAAUAUUAUCUUUUGAUCAUGUUGAAUUAACUCAUGAGAUCUAUAUAACCAAACUAAUUAUUCAUGUAGAGAUUGAAGAAUAUCAAUUAUGAAUUCGUUGGGUUUGAGACUUUUUCAUCUCUGAUUUCUAAAGGUCUCAUUCUGAGCAUGGGUGCCUUAGAGCUUUUUGAAAUAUCCACCAGUUGACCAAAGACAUUAAAAUGCACUCAAGUCAAGAAACAAGACUCCAGAAAUCAGAAAUACAAGAGAACCAAACACACACGAAAAUACAGAAUGUGAAUAACUAAGCACGUGAAAGAAUGUAGCGUGCAUGAAAGAGCUGGUGUAUGCAUUAUUUUUUCCGUAAUAAGUGGUCAUAGAACUAAGCACGUGACAGAAUAUAGCGUGCAUGAUGAUGUAUAAAACUCGUUACACGUAAGAUUUUUUAUGAUUAAAGAUAAAAUGGACACUUGCCCAGAAACUGAAGGAUAAUAUCGUUUUUAACUCAUGUGAGGGAUAACCCAACAAGUUUAUUAGCAUUUACUCAUAAGAUGUUCUGGCCUUUCAAUCAAAUAACAAUAUCUCGUGGAUUGUGGAACAGUCUUCUGAAUUGUAAUUAAUAGAUAAUAUAAUCCAAUAUAAGAAUUCCAUAAUGCUGAAAAAAGUCAUUUUCAUUCACAAAACUGUCUAAGAAACCCUCAGAAUAGCAACUUUUAAGACUCAACAGCCUUCCUGGUCAAAAGGCUCACCCUAAGUAAUUGGGCGACACGUGUUAUGGUCCAAAACCAUGACCAGGAUGAAAUGUGUGCAUGACAUCACACAUGUCGAGCAUUCAGCUGGUCUAAAAUCGUAUAUAAACCAUACCCAAUUGUGAUCAGCAAAUCAAAUUUGAGUUAUAACAACUUCAUCUGAAUUUCAAGUGUUUUCAAGAAAACAAAGUAAGAAGAAAAUGGCUGACAACUCUCAAAAGAUGAGCUACCACGCUGGAGAGGCCAAGGGCCAAGCUCAGGUAAUUAGCUCACCUGUAAAUUGUAAUUUUCCAUUUGUUUUUGCUUCUUUCUUCUGUUUUUUUAUAGAUUAAUGUGGGAUGUUUUGUAUUGGAUAAUUUUGGAUUUAACAGGAGAAGGCCGGUGGGAUGAUGGAUAAGGCUAACAAUGCAGCCCAAUCUACCAAGGAGACAAUGCAAGAUGUUGGUCAAAAUGUGCAGGCGAAGGCUCAAGGGGCUGCUGAUGCAGUCAAGAAUGCCACUGGCAUGAACAAAUGAAGCUGCUCAUGAUGAUCAUUUUCAUGACUUUUAAUGACUUUGUAGAGUUAAGAUGAUGGCAAAAUUUCAUUGAGUUUUAUAGACUUUUAUGUAAUUUUUUUUUUCUUUCUUACCCUUCUUUAGAAAGAAAGAAUUUAAAAUUACAUAGAAUUCCAAAAUGAUGGAAUUUAGAUCUCCAUCAUUUUAAGUUACGGCAAUUAAUAAUUUCAGUAUUUGGAUUUAUGUAUAUCGAAUUUUACAAAUAAAAUUUCACGGAAAAACGAAUUCCUUCACUCAAUAGAAAUUGCGAAAUGACGUCUCUUUUUAUUGAAAUUAAACCCAGAAAUCUUGAGUGCUUGACUUUUGUGCUAAAAUAGCCAAACAGUGAAAGUAUUAAAUUCUACUCUUCAAUUCUUUACUUUUAGCUAAAUAAUUAACGUAGGGUAAUAGCAGUAUGUAGUAUGACCAAAAGAAAACGAAUUCUAAUAUUAUCUUUUGAUCAUGAUGAAUUAACUCUUGAGAUCUAUAUAACCAAAAUAAUUAUUCAUGUAGAGAUUGAUGAAUAUCAAUUAUGAAUUCGUUGGGUUUGAGACAAUUUCAUCUCUUAUUUCUAAAGGUCUCAUUCUCGGCCUGGGUGCCUUAGAGCUUUUUGAAAUAUCCACCAGUUGACCAAACACAUUAAAAUGCACUCAAGUCAAGAAACAAGACUCGUAAAUCAGAAAUACAAGAGAACCAAACACGCACAAAAAUACAUAAUGUGAAUGAACUUGGGGUAAUUAUCAAGUAGAAAAUUUUAUAUAAAGCCGGUGUAUGCCUUAUUUUCCUCGUAAUAAGUGUUCACAUAACUAAGCACGUGAAAGAAUGUAGCGUGCAUGAAAGAGUUGGUAUAUGCAUUAUUUUUCUCGUAAUAAGUGGUCACAUAACUAAGCACGUAAAAGAACAUAGCGUGCAUGAUAAUGUAUAAAACUCAUUACACGUAAGAUUUUUUGUGGUUAAAGAUAAAACACUUGUCCAGAAACUUUGGGACAAUAUCGCUUUUAACUCAUGUGGAGGUUAACCCAACAAGUUUAUUAGCAUUUACUCAUUAAUUAGAUGUUCUGGCCUUUCAAUCAAAUAAUAAUAUCUUGUGGCUUAUGGAACAAUCUUGUGAAUUGUAAUUAAUUGAUAAUAUAAUCCAAUAUUACAAUAAUUCCAUAAUGCUGAAAAAAGUAAUUUCCAUUCAAAAAACUGUCUAAGAAACCCUCAGAAUAGCAACUUGGAAGACUCAACAGCCUUCCUGGUCAGAAGGCUCACCCUAAGUUAUAGGGCGACACGUUUUAUGGUCCAAAACCAUGACCUGGAUGAAAUGUGUGCCUGGCAUCACACAUGUCGAGCAUUCAGCUGGUCUAAAAUCGUAUAUAAACCAUACCCAAUUGUGAGAUAUUCAUCAUUAGCAAACCAAAUUUGAGGUAUAAAAACAUCAUCUGAAUUUCAAGUGUUUUCAAGAAAACAAAGCAAGAAGAAAAUGGCUGACAACUCUCAGAAGAUGAGCUACCACGCUGGUGAGGCCAAGGGCCAAGCUCAGGUAAUUAGCUCAUGUGUAAUUCUCCAUUUGUUUUUACUUAUUUCUUCUACUUUCUUUUAAAUAUUACAUUAUUAUAUGUGAAUGUGCAUUGAGAUUGAUGUGGGGUGUUUUGUAUUGGAUACUUUUGGAUUUAACAGGAGAAGGCUAGUGGGAUGAUGGAUAAAGCUAACAAUGCAGCCCAAUCUACCAAGGAGACAAUGCAAGAUGUUGGUCAGAAUGUGCAUGCGAAGGCUCAAGGAGCUGCUGAUGCAGUCAAGAAUGCAACUGGCAUGAACAAAUGAAGCUGCUCAUGAUGAUCAUUUUCAUGACUUUUAAUGACUUUAUAGAGUUAAGAUGAUGACAAACUUUGUUUGAGUUUUAUAGACUUUUAUGUAAUUUUUUUUUCUUUCUUACUCUUCUUUUGAACGAAGGAACUGAAAAUUGCAUAGAAUUCUAAAAUGAUUGAAUUUAGAUCCCCAUCGUUUUCAUUUAUGGUAAUUAAUAAUUUUAGUAUUCGGAUUUAUGUAUGUUAAAUUUUGUAAAUGACAUAAAUUUUAGGGGAAAACGAAUUCUAAUAUCUUUUGAUCACGAUGAAUUAACUCAUGAGAUCUAUAUAACCAAAAUAAUUAUUCAUGUAGAGAUUGAUGAAUAAUAUCAAUUACGACUCUUGAGAUUGGGGCCCAAUUCGUUGGGUUUGAGACUUUUUCAUCUUUUAUUUCUAAAGACAUCGUUUUGGGCUUGGGUGCCUUAGUGCUUUUUGAAAUAUCCACAAGUUUACUAAACACAUUAAUGACAUGUUUAUUAAUCCGUAAUUAGAUUAGGAGCAAUUGAAUUGAUGAUGAAUUGAAUUGGGAAGGAGUUAGAUUGAGGAGAAUUAGAUUUCGGAUUCCUAUUGAAGUUCUUUACUAAACCGUAUGGAUUGAGGAGAAUUAAAUUCCGGAUUUCUAUUGAAGUUGUUUACUAAAUCAUAUGGAAUUGAGGUAAUAGUGGUACUAAUUACUAAAAUGACCUCGUUGUUUGGUUAAAGUAGAUGGCAAAUUUGAAAUUUUGAAAAUUGAGGAUAUAAUGGGUAACAAAGAUGAAUUCCUAAUAGAUUAGUUCUCCAGGAAUUAGAAUACCACUUCCCACCGAAGAAUUGAGUUUCUCCAAAAUUAGGAAUUCAAUUCCUAAUUUUAUAUGGCCCCACUUACUUUUUAAUUCUUUGAUGUGAAAUAAACACAGGAAUUCUCCAUAGGUGGAAUUCAAUUCUUGAUUAGUAAAAACACAAUAAAAUGCACUCAGGUCAAGAAACAGAACUCCGAAAAUCAGAGAUACAAGAGAACCAAACCAACACAAAAAUACAAAAUGUGAAUGAACUUGGGGAAACUAUCAAAUAGAAAAUUUUAUAUAGAGCUGGUGUAUGCAUUAUUUUUCUCGUAAUAAGUAUUCACAUAACCAAGCACGUGAAAGAAUGUAACGUGCAUGAAAGAGUUGGUGUAUGCAUUAUUUUUCUCGUAGUAAGUGGUCAAAUAACUAAGCACUUAAAAGAAUAUAGCGUGCAUGAUAAUGUAUAAAACUCAUUACAAGUAAGAUUUUUUGCGGUUAAAAGUAAAAUGCAUACUUGUCCAUAAACUUAGGGACAAUAUCGCUUUUAACUCAUGUGGAGGAUAACCCAACAAGUUUAUUAGCAUUUACUCAUAAGAUGUUUUGGUCUUUCUAUCAAAUAACAAUAUCUUGUGAGUCUUGCGAAUUAUAAUUAAUUGAUAAUGUAUUUUUAGGCGUAGUAAUUAAGGAAAUAUAAUCCAAUAUUAUAAGAAUUCCAUAAUACUGAAAAAAGUAAUUUCCAUAUUCAAAACUGUCUGAACCCUAAGAAUAGCAACUGUAGAUGAAGAUAAGACUCAACAGCCUUGUCCUGGUCCGAAAGGCUCAUCCCAAGUUAUAAGGCGACACGUGUUAUGGUCCAAAGCCAUGAAAUGUGUGAAUAGCUUCCGCAUGGCAUCACACGUGUCGAGCAUUCAGCUGGUUGAAAAUUCUAUAUAAACCCUACCCAAAUGUGAAAUAUUCAUCAUCAGCAAAUCAAAUUCGUGUUAUAAAAACUACAUCUGAAUUUCAAGUGCUUUCCUCCAGUUUCCAAGAAAACAAAGCAAGAAAAAAAUGGCUUCCAACUCUGAGAAGGUGAGCUACCACGCUGGUGAGGCCAAGGGCCAAGCUCAGGUAAUUUUCUUCACCUAUUAUUCUCCAUUUGUUCCUGCAUUUUUUGUUGUUGAAUAUUACAUAAUUUAUGCUGAAUGUGCAUUGAGAUUGAUGUAAUUUUUCAUUUAACAGGAGAAGGCGAGUGGGGUGAUGGAUAUGGCAAACAAUGCAGCCCAAUCUGCCAAGGAAACAAUGCAAGCGGCAGGCCAGAAUGUGCAGGCCACGGCUAUAGGAGCUGCUGAUGCAGUCAAGAAUGCCACUGGCAUGAACAAAAAAUGAAGCUAGCUGCUCAUCAUGAUCUCAAUAUGAGCAUUUGCAGUUUUUUUUUCUUUUUUUUGGGAGCUUUCUAGUAGUUGCUUUUGAUUUCUGUCUUCUAAACAAGGGAGCUCUAAGUCCUCUGGAGUUCUCAUCAUCUGGGUGUGUACUUUCGUUCACACUUGGUUUUAGUUUUUGUUUUCUUUUUCUUUUUGUUCAUGUUUAUCUCCUUUGAACAAGGAAAGUGGGCUCUGCCUAUUGUAGUUCUCACCUAAUUGAAUCAUAUGCUGUUUUUAAUCCCAUCUAUAUGUUCAAGAUUGGUCCUUUGUUUAUGCAGAUGAGCAAAAUCCGACCUAAGAGUUUCUGAAAAUAAAAAACAUAAAAAAAAGAAGAUAUAAAUUAAUUAAGCAAGUGCGACAACUCAUAAUUAAGAGAAGCUACUUUUGCAUCUGAUAGAAUUUUAUUGAUAAUGCGGGAUGAAAAUAAGUAAAAAAAUUAAGCUAUGUCUAAAUAAUUAGGUGAGCAUCUCUACACAUAAUGACGUAGUGGUCGUCGAACUAUCUAGAUAGUCUAUCUUCUCAACCUUCUCUCGUCGGACUACCUAUAGAUAGCCUCUCGUCGGACUACCUAGGUAGCCUACCUUCUCAACCUUCUCAACUACAAACGAAAAAAAUAAAAACCUUGCCACCGUUAGAGCGGCCCCAUCUCUCUAAGAUUAGCUACUUAACUAUAGAACAAUAUCGUGACUAUGUAGCUAAGUAGCUUUCCCACAUCAAAGAAAUUUCUGUGACCUUCUUCCGUGAAAUUAAAGUACCAUAAUUUGUUGAAAAUUAAAGCACUUUUGUCGAGAAAUAUCUAGAAAAAUCUAGAUAAGAUCACCGACCAAGCUAAAGUCUACAUAUGCCAGAACUGUCAUAUGAAAUAUCCAAUAUGGUACUAUUAGAUUGAUAAUACGAUAAAAACUAGUGGAGACCACAAAGUUGUGGUUAGGAAUGUAGCAGCAGCUCGGCUGAAAAUGUGUGGUUAGGAACAAAACAAGCCCAAGUGGGUGGAGCUUCAGCAUGUCGGCUGCUGUCAUCUGUAAAUGAAUUUGGUAUGUUUAUUUUAAAAUAAAUUAAUCCAUAAUUACAUUAAAUUACCUUUAUUAGUGGGAGUUAAAUUUCCAUUAAUAUGACUCAACUGCUUUAUGCUUGUGUCCAUUAACGUCUUUCUUGGUGGUAUACUAUGUGUAUAUGUUAGUUAUAGCUUGAAAAAGAAAAAGAGAGAAGCCACAGCCUUCUUCCUCUUAUGAUAAAAUUUGGGUUACUAACAAUACAUUUACAUUAAUUACUCUCUCUUGUAGAAAUGUGAUAUUAAUUUAUUGAUUGCAAUCAUUAAUAAAAUUUAGAGGAUUGACGGUAAUGACAAUAUGUAUAAAUGUUUUAAAAACAGUGGCCAAGGUUUUGUGUACUUGGUAGGCUUGUUAAGUUGCUGGACCCAAUUCUACAUCAAAAGAGAGGUGGAGUGCAUUUAUAGUGCAAACUCAAAAUUGGACCUAUAUCAAAAGACUCAUUCUUUUAAUUUAUGUAUUGAGAUUUCUAAGCAACAUAGUUAGAAAGGUGUUUGUUACCUUUUCUAAACUGCUUGCAUAAAUUGGGCGUAGAGCCGCGAAACGUCUGAAAGAGAACGACUUCGUACGUGACUCAUCCCAAGAAUCGUUCCAAACUACAUACUAAAUUUUUCGUGUAAUAUUGUUCUCUUAUUUUAAUUUGUUCAUCAACAAUUUAAAGACCUUUUCAUCUGCCAUUGAUGUGAAUAAUAAGGCUUAUAGAUUCUAUGACCAAAAGAACCAUGUUGUACUUGAAUCUAAAUGAUGUUUAAAAAAAAAGAAGAUAAAUUCUCAUAUAAAUUGAGAAAUUGUGGGGACUCAAGUUCUAGUAAUACAUCUUUCCCAUAAAUCAUGAACCUAGAUGUAUAGAACAUUUUUAACCAACUUAGAACCAAGGAAGAGUAAGAAAACGAAUUGCCAAGGAUUUUGGACCUAAUUUUCAUGUUCAUACCUUAGAGCAAGGAUUUUGGACCUAACUUUCACACUUGGUUUUUGUUUUUGUUCAUGUUAUCUCCUUUGAACAAGGAAAGUGGGCUCUGCCUAUUGUAGUUCUCACCUAAUUGAAGCAUAAUCUUUUUUCAUGUGCUGGUGUUAGAAUUAUCUUCAUCCUUUACUUCGAUUUAAUCCCAUCUAUAUAUUCAACUAGACAACGAUAGAAUCGUGACUGAAAAACUGCCGCUGAUGCCUUGCAAGAGACGAUGGUCACGUAUACGACGAUUAUGUGUCACAUAAGAGGACUGCACUGUGUCUAGAAAAAUCUAGAUAAGAUACCGACCAAGCUAAAGUCUACAUAUGCCAGAACAGUCAUAUAAAGUAUCUCGGCUGAAAAUAUGUGGUUAGGAACAAACAAGCCCAAGUGGGUGGAGCUUGGGCAUGUCGGCUGCUGUCAUUUGUAAAUGAAUUUGGUAUGUUUAUUUUAAAAUAAAUUAAUCAAUAAUUACAUUAAAUUACCUUUAUUAGUGGGAGUUAAAUUUCCAUUAAUAUGACUCAACUGCUUUAUGCUGGUUUUAAGUCUAUUAACGUCUUUCUUGGUGGUAUAUUAUGUAUAUAUAUAUUAUUAGCUAUAGCUUGAAAAAGAAAAGAGAUAGAAAAGCCACAGCCUUCUUCCUCUUCAUCCCUAUGAAUUCUCUCCUUCUUUUACUUUAUGUAUUGAGAUUUCUAAGCAACAUAGUCAAAAAGGUAUUUGUUAUCUUUUCUAAACUAUUUACACAAAUUGGCGCAAAGUCGUGAAACGUCUUAAAGAGAUCGACGUAAUACGCAACUCAUCCUAAGAAUCGUUCCAAGCUCCAUAUUGUAUUUUUCGUAUAAUAUUGUUCUCUUAUUUUAAUUUGUGCAUCAACAAUUUUAAGAGGUUUUUAUUUGCCAUGGAUGUUAAUAAUAAGGCUUAUAGAUUCUCUGACUUAAAGAACCAUGUUGUAAUUGAAUCUAAUGAUACUGUUUAAAAAAAGAAGAAGAUAAAUUCUCAUUUAAAUUAAGAAAUUGUGGGGACUCAAGUUCUAGUAAUACAUCUUUCCCAUAAAUAAUGAACCUAGAGGUAUAGAACAUUUUUAACCAACUUGGAACCAAGGAAGACUAAGAAAGAACGAAUUAAUUGCCAAGGAUUUGGACCUAAUUUUCAUGUUUAUACCUUAGAGUAGGAUCCCACCACUCUCCAAUCACAUAUAUAUAUAUACAUAUAUAUAUUUUAUAUUCAGAUUUAUUUCGUUAAUUUUUUUUAAUCUUUCAUAUUAUUUACUUAUGGUUUUACAAGAUUUUAUUGUUUUGUAGUUUCGCUAAUAUGCUGCUCCGGUGCUUCCAUUACAAUUUUUUUUUAGAGAACUUCUCCAUCACAUCUGUAAAUGUACAAUCAUACAAUAUUUCAGUGAGUUUUAAUUAGCAUGUGCCUUCUUUAUGUUGUCGGCCACCUAUAUUGGAUACACAUUCAUAUAGAAAAAGUCACCUAUAUUGUCUAAUUUACUGUCAGCUCUGCAUCACUCAAUAAAAAUUAUGUGCAGGUGGGAUCUCUGAGAUCUGGUAUUUAUCAAGAGUUAGAUUCAAUUAUACAAAAGAUCAUUUCUAUUACUCUCUUUUCCAUCAAUAUUUUCUCAACCCAAAAAUUCCAACCAUCACUAGUAAUGUAUGAAUAUGUCAACAUUAAUCAAAUAAUUAAUAACACGUAAACAUCCAAUAUCAAAAACAUUAUAAUAUCAAGCUAUAAUAUAAUAUUCACGAAAUUUAAUUCAAUCAAUUCUUGUAAAGGCCCUAAAAAAUCCAUACCUCAAUUCCAAAGCUAGCUCAAAAUUUAAGAAAACACAAACUAGGCCUAUAUCUCCUCCAAGAAUUUGAUCAUCUCUCUCUUUCUCUCUUUUACUUCCUCUCUCAUUUCUUUUUUGUUUCUUACUCUUAUUUCAAUUCUAGAAGGCCCUAUUUAUACUAGCAUAAGUCGGCAACAACAAAGAUCUCAUUGGAUAAUUGUUUGGCAGCUAAGAAAUGAGAUAUGCAUGGAAGCUAUCUUUAUAUAAUAUAAACUAAUAUUAAUCCUAUCACAAAAGUAGAUAAAGUAACUAGAAGAUUGACACAUCAACCCUAAGAGAUAAAUUAUACCUGCAUCUGCUCCAGCUCAAGGUAAACAAUGGCAUGAAAUUGACGCCAACUCCCAUCUAAAGCUACCUCUUGCUAAUCAAAGGAUAAUUCUAACACCUCAUCCUUACUAACUCCAGCUCAUGUUAAUUUUCACAUGUAGUUGAAUGUAUCCAUUUCACUAUAAAGACUAAUGCCACGUUUUCAAGUUAAAAUAAUUAUAAUUAUAAGACAGGAAGAGAUCGAUAUAUAUAAUAGAAAACUAUUUAAUCUUCAAUAUAUAUAUAUAUAUAUUUUUUUAAAUACGGGUCUUCACAGAAACUACAUUGGAUGAAGUGUAAAUUAAUUGUGAAACCUUUUUGAAGAAGACUCAAAUAAAAUGAUAAAUUAUAUAACUAUAAGUGGCAUUUAAUUUUGAAUUUUGGUGUAAGGGUUUCGACCCUUAAAUCCUUUGAAGCAUGAUUAACCCAUCAGGUGAUAUGAUUUCAUCAGUCCCAAUAUCUUGGACCACAGGAGUCUAAGAUAUUGUGGUCAUCUACUGUUGGAUAUUAAUCUAAUAGUUCAAAAAAGUUUCUUAAAAUGAGUGCAAGAGUGAGUGAACCGUUGAAUUUCCAUCUAACGGUGAGUGACCACAAAUCUCUUGAACCCAUGUAGUCCAAGAGAUCGGGACUGAUGAUUUCAUUAUUAUAUUUGUUAUGGUUAUCAAGAUGAGUUUUGAUUGGGCAUAUCCUAUGAAAUUUAAAAAUACUUUGUGAGUACCGUUUUAAUAUACUUCAUGACUUUUCUUAUUUUGUAAAGGUUGAGAAUUUCCUUAACUAGCCGGGGUUGAGAAUUCGGGGGUUAUUGCUUUAAGAUCCCUUUACUUUGCCACUUCAGAAACCCAAAUGGAGACUGUUAAGUUUAAUCUGACAUACUUGAAAAUGUGGAGGUUCGUUAUGUUCAUUUAAUGACCUAUCUAAUUAAUAAGUGACUACUUUAUUUUGGCAAAUACGCCAAUAUAUCUUAAUAGUAGAUUUUGCUUAUAUCAUACAACAUUAUUUUGAUAUGAAAGUGAGUGUGACUAGUGACAUUCUUGGUAUUAACAGGUUUCUUUGAGGAUUGAGAAGAUACAAUGACGAUUUGGAUAUGCCAUGUAGCCACUUGAAGCGCACAAUAAAGGAAGCUUCAGCAGGUGCACUCAAAGAAUUGAUAUAUUUUAAUGAAUACCGAUAUUUGGGAGGUAUAUAUAUAUAUUUUUGAUUAUAUAUAUGAAUUGAUAUAUAUCGGAUUUCUGUUAUACUUUAAUGUAUAGUGAUGCACAUGUGAUCUCCAAUGGUAUUGAGAUGAAAUUUACUGAUCAUUUGUCUGCAAUGUUCUAGCAAAUAUUUCUGAUGGACGUGCAAGUUUACAAGUGGAUCUAGUUUGGAGCAUUGGUAUGCUAUUGAGGGUCAUGCGGUACCUUAAAAAGACGAUGAACCUUGAAUUACACUAUUAGAAGUUUGCUGUUAUCCUAGAAGGAUAUAGCAAUGCUCAUUGGAAUACCCUGUCAGAAGAUUCAAGGGCUACUGGAAGUCUUAGAAACAUACUAUUCUAGCUCAGUCAACAAUGGAUUCAGAGAUGAUAGCUCUAGCAAUGGAUAGUGACAGCAAGUUGGUUGAGAAACUUACUGACAGAUACCCUCUUGUGGGAGAGAUCGAUACCAGUUGUUCUUAUCCACUGUAAUAUAGUGGAUUACGAUGUAAUGAGAAUUUAGCUGAUCCUUUGACGAAAAGACUACCAUGAGAAAAGGUUUGGAAAACCUCAAAAGGAAUGGACUAAAACCCAGGAAAGUUAAGUCACUUGUGAUGGUAACCCAACCUACAAACUGGAAAUCCCAAGAAAAAGGUUCAAUGGGUAAUAACAAGUCAUGUAGUGAUACAAGGUUGAGUUUAACUCUUAAUGAGAUCUAUACUACAUAUUAAGUGGGAUAUCUAGCUACAUAUCCUUGAUGAUCCCCUAUGUGAAUGUGGACGUGAGGCCGCUUUCUAUGAAAAUUUGAGGGAGAUUUUUAAAAGGAUUCACUAUACCGGGAUAUAAGCAUAUGGCCGUAACGUGCUUGCCUUUGAACUUCACCAUAGUAGGGCUGUGUGGUGUUGUUAGAGAAAGAGUUUAGAACUAUACGUUACUCUUGUAUAUUCUAGAGUUCUGUCACUACGUAGAGGUUCAAGUUAAAAAAACACCUUUACUUAUGCACAAUCUUAUGAUAUGUUGCUCAAUGAACUUAUUUUUAAAAUAAAUAAGUGGGGAUUGUUGAAUUUGGUAUGUUUAUUUUAAAAUAAAUUAAUCAAUAAUUACAUUAAAUUACCUUUAUUAGUGAGAGUUAAAUUUCCAUUAAUAUGACAGAUUUUUCUUAACUGCUUUAUGCUGGUUUUAAGUCCAUUAAUGUCUUUCUUGGUGGUACAUUAUAUAUAUUAGCUAUAGCUUGAAAAAGAAAAGAGAAAGAAAAGCCACAACCUUCUUCCUCCUCAUCCCAAUGAAAUUCUCUGUUUCUUUUACUUUGUGUAUUGAGAUUUCUGAGCAACCUAGGGACGUAGUAGCUUUUUCAAAAUUGUUUGCACAAAUUGGGUAGAGUCAUGAAACAUCUUUAAAAAAAGUGACUUAGUACACGACUCAUUCAAAGAAUCGUUCCAAGCUACCUAUUGUAUUUUUCGGGUAAUAUUAUCUUAUUUUAAUUUGUGCAUCAACGGUAGAUAGGAGUGCAAACCGUUUCAUUCUUCUAAUUGUACAACUCGCUUAUGGUUUUUAGGAUUAGAUUGGAUUGGACUUAUGGUAGGAUAUCAACAACUUAUAACUUAUCUCACCCAAUUCCCCAAAAUGAAAAAUCAUUUAUUUCUGCAUUCAUUCCCUCCUUCGACUAACGUGAACGGUGGCGAUUAUUUUGGACUAGUUUACGCUGGUGGUGAAUAGAGAAGAUGCUUAGUAUUUUGGAGGGAGGUGUUUCCUUGACCGAAUUUUCCUCCACUGGAGUUUUCAAAGCAAGGUUUUAUGAGGUCACCCAAGGUACACCUCCUUUCUCCAAUUUUUCUUGUUUUUUCUAGAAUGUUAUUUUGAUUGUUUCUGAAGAAGUAAUAAAGAUUGUUUAUUUGAUAAAAAAUAAUAAGGGGAAAUGGUAAUGCUAGUAAAUAAAUAUUUGUAUCAAUUCUCAGUAGGAAGUAGUUGUCAAUGUAAAAACAAUUUGAUUUGAGGGUGGUUUUUAGUAAAUAAAUAUUUUGUAUCAAUUAUGUGGUGCAAUGAGGAAUUUUAUAGAUGUAGAUAGCAAUGUUCGAAAAAUCGCUAGGCAAGGGCCUAGUGGCUAGAGAGUAAUCGGGCUUAGGCUUUUUUUUAUAAAAAUAAUUAUUUGUAUUAUAAAUUAUAAAUUUAUACCAAAAUCAUGCAAAAUAAAACGAUAUAUAAAUUAUAAAAAAUCGUAAUUGAUAUAAAACAUGGGAAAAAGUUAAUACCAAGAAAAAUACUUGAAAUGAAACGCUAGGCCUCUAAAUCUCACUCUUCCUCUGACUAGGUUUUAUUUAAAGUCAGGCAAAAUAAAAAAAUAAAAAAAUAAAAAAAAGGGACCCAACCCGCCUAGCCCGCCUAGCCCGCCUAGGCGGAUUUUUUAUUUUUUAUUUUAUUUUUUAUUUGUUGGACGAUUUUUCGAAUACAUAGAUAGUAACUCGGUUAUGUUUUUAUCUUAUCCGACCCCUGAAAAUCCACCAAACUUGUGCCGAUAUAGCAGAUACAUUGAUUUUUCUCCUUCCCGUUCCACUCACGGUUGACAAACUCAAAAGAGCUUCUCCGGCGAAGCAAUGGCGGUGCCUCUCUUCAACCUUACCCCCAAUCUUACCGACUCUAAGUCUGAUACUUUGGCCCCCCCUCUCAUCCUCAAAUAUCAAUUCAUUCGUCGCACAGACGAUGACUUUCGGCGAGCAAAACACGUUUCCGAAGUUGUUUGGCCUCCUCGACCAAGCUUUCCUGUCCAGCAUCAAUUUCUUCGACUAUACAGAAAUGUAUCUAGUGGUUCAGUGAGCCCAGACUCAGGGUCAGGGGAGGAGCGAGGAGCGUCGUUUUGGCCACCGAGGUUGUAAAGUAGCUCUGAGAGUAUCAGUUCGUGCUAACAAUGUGUGAAAAUUUGUUCUGAUGUUACAGGUACCGUCUGGGCAGAUGACUUGGAUACGAGAUGGUCCCAAGUGUUUGAAUGCUAAGAAUAUCACCGAGGCCAUUGACAGCAGGUUUGCUAAAGCAAACAGUUUGUAAUUUUUCUUCUGUUUAAAAACACUUCGUGUUAUGCUGUGCUGAGUGAUGAGUUAUGUAAUGUUUAGAUGCAGCUUAAGUGUUUUCGGAUUGCAGACAGAGUACAUUGAUCAUUGGCCUGAUCGGUUUGUAUGUAGAUAAGUGUUUUCGGAUUUCUUUUUCACAUGACUCUAAAUUUGCAGAUUGACAUGAAUCUGCCCCUCUGGGUGAGAAAAUGAUAGUCAUACCUUUUCACUGGUUUGGGUAUGAUGCUCAGUGGUUAUUAAUAUUUUUUUUUAAGUCAGUAUAUUACUUUUGAUUAAGUGUAUGCAUGCAUGCUUGGGUGUGGGGGUAUAUACAAGCCUGGGCUUCCGCAUCUGUGCCAUAGCAGUUCAUGAAUGUCUGCAGUACUCCUUGUUCUAAAAGGAAAAUUAUUUUGAAAAUUAUCUUUAGUUCCAGAAUUUGAUCUCUUUACUCCAUGUUGUAUUUAUCGAAUAUUGCCCGUCGCAUGUUGAUUUACUAAUCUGCUUGUAUUUCCAUUCACAGGAUACAUUGGUAUUGCAGGGAAGUACAGUGUUCAUCCAGUAUCUCUUGCAAUAGGUUCGACACCUCUCCCUCCAAUUCUUUAUAGGUUCUUCAUGUUCUUAUCCACGUUAGGACUCUGGUUUGGAGACUUAAUGGGGGGUCCUGCAGAUGCUUGGUUGAAUCUUUUUAGAGGUCAAUUUUCAAAUUGUUCAUCUCAUCUUUUGAUAUGUAGGAACUUAGAAUACUAAAAUACUUUUCUAGGAUUUUUAAAUAAUUUUAAAUUCCACAAAAUUAAUUACUAGUUAUGAAGUAAUUUAUGAAAUUAAUUAAAAUAUUAAAAUAUUAAUUCUUCACUAAAUAAAAAAUAAUUAAAACAUCAUAUAUUUAAAGAGUAUAGCCGUUCGGCUAUACCUUUUGAAUAUUCGAAUAUAUUUAAAGAGUACAAUAUUUCCACCGUAUAGCGAGCGGCUAUACCGUUUAAAUAUUCCAAUAUAUUUAAAGAGUAUAGCCGUGCGGCUAUACGUGUGAGCAAUAGUACAGCCGUUCGGCGAUAUUUAAAUUCGAGUAUAGCCGCGCGGCUAUACUAUAUACGAAUAUUUAAAAAAGUAUAGCCGAGCGGCUAUACGCUUUAAAUAUAUUAUGUUCUAAUUAUUAUUUAUUUGGUGAAUAAUUAGUAUUUAAAUAUUUAAUUUACUUCAUAAAUAGUGAUUAAUUGUAAUUAAGUAUCUUAAAUAAAUUUGUGAAAUUUUAAAAUAGUUUCAAUUAUUUAAAAAUCCUAGAAAAUUAUUUUUGUAUUCUAAAAAUGGAUUUUAGUCUCCAAACCCUAAAUCCAAGUCUUGAAUUGGGGACUGUUACCAUUGGUAAUGGCGGUGUUUUGCAAAACAUUCAUCACCCUAUUGCCGAAGAAGAUUGGUAAAGGGAAAUUAGACAAUUGAUCUGUCUCUCAAGAAUUUUAGAGUUGCUUGUUAAAAUUUGGAGAUGGAAUGUUGUAAACACAAAUUUUGGAAAUUUUGAAUGAAUAUAGAAUCGUAAUGAUAAUUUUGGUUUAAUAAUUAUCUUUGCCGAGUGAUAAUUUUGCAUAAAUUAUGUCUGAUUGAAGGUGUGAUGCGUCUCCGGCAACGAAACAAUGGACCUGGCUUUUAACAACAAUCCAACUUACUCCAGGAGGCUUUUCUAACCCUUUUCCCUUAGCCGUGUUCUUAUCUGCCUGACCUCCAUCCUAGACCUGCUGCAGCAUAUGUAUUAAGAUAUCAGAACAUAAUUCCCCGCAUUCAUCGGUUCUAAUGCAACAAGUUUUUCAAAUAUGGUUCCAGCUAACUUCGUGGCAGAAUGAAGUCGACAAGCAUUGAGCAAGGCUCCCCACAUUGAUGCAUCUACUUCAACAGGCAUUGAUUCAAAGCUAGGCCUCUAAAUCUAACUCUUCCUCCUCCUCUCCAUAUCCCUCCAAGACUAGAUUUUAUUUAAAGUCAGGAAAGAAAAAAAAGAAAAAAAAAAAGGACCCAACCCGCCUAGCCCGCCUAGGCGGAUUUAUUUUUUAUUUUUUAUUUUUUAUAUUUAUUGGACGAAUUUUCGAACACAGUAGUAACUUGGUUCUGUUUUUAUCUUAUCCAACCCCUGAAAAUCCACCAAACUUGCGCCGAUAUAACAGAUACUUUGUUUUUUCUCCUUCCGGUUCCCCUCACAGUUGACAAACUCAAAGAGCUUCUCAGGCGAAGCAAUGGAGGUGCCUCUCUUCAACCUCGCACCCAAUCUUACCGACUCUGAGUUUGAUUCUUUGGCCAUCCCUCUCAUCCUCAAAUACAAAUUCAUUCUUCGCGCAGGGACGAUGACUUUCGGCAAGCAAAACACGUUUCCGGAGUCGUUUGGCCUCCUCGACCAAGCUUUCCUGUCCGGCAUCAAUUUCUUUGACUCUACAGAAAUGUAUCCUGUGGUGAUCAGCGAGCCCAGACUCAGGGUCAGGGGAUGAGUGAGGAGUGUCGUUUUGGCCACCAAGGUUGUAAAGUAGCUUUGAGACUGAGAGUAUCAGUUCAUGCUAACAAUGGUGUGCCAGCUUGGUUUUCACUUCUGAUGUGUGAAAAUUUGUUCUGAAUUGAUAUAUAGCGGAUUUCUGUUAUACUUUAAUGUAUAGUGAUGCACAUGUGAUCUCUAAUGAUAUUGAGAUGAAAUUUACUGAUCAUUUGUCUGCAAUGUUCUAGCAAAUAUUUCUGAUGGACAUGCAAGUUUACAAGUGGACCUAGUUUGGAGCAUUGGUAUGCUAUUGGGGUAUGCUAUGAGAAGUUUGCUGCUAUCCCAGAAGGAUAUAGCGAUGCUUAUUGGAAUACCCUGUCAGAAGAUUCAAAGGCUACUGGUAAGAAACAAAAUAUUCUAGCUCAGUCAACAAUGGAGUUAGAGAUGAUAGCUCUAGCAUAGUGAAAGCAAGUUGGUUGAGAAACUUACUGACAAAUACCCCUUCGUGGGAGAGAUCAAUACCGACUGUUCUUAUCCACAGUAAUAGUGGAUUAUGUACGAUUUGAUGAGAAUUUAACUGAUUCUUUGACGAAAGAACUAGAAUGAGGAAAUGUUUGGAAAACCUCAAAAGGAAUCAAACUAAAACCAUGGGAAAAUUAAGUCACUUGUGAUGGUAACCAACCUAUAGACUGGAAAUCCCAAGAAAAAGGUUCAAUGAGUAACAACAAGUCAUGUAGUGAUAUGAGUGGAGUCAUGCUAGUAUUGUUCCAUAUCCAUCCUUAGAAGCAUGAAAUCCUACAGCGAUAUAAGGUUGAAAGUUUAACUCUUAAUGAGAUCUAUACUCUAUAUUGAGUGGGAUAUCUAACUACAUGAAUAUCCUUGAUGACGGACCCAGGAUUUCAAAAUAGAAUGAGCUAAAUUUACCUUACAUACCUAAUAGGAAAACAAAAACGUAAUUGCAAAUCGCUAAUUGAUAAUUCAUAACAUUGAAUUGAAAAUCCCUAAUUUAUACUUCAUGAACCUUAAAAAAAUCCCCAAAUUUCAGUAACAACAAAUUGAGGAAAGAAAAUUGUAAGAUUCCAGCAAUAAAAUAAAUUUUUUGCUAACAUUCCACCAAUAAAAUAUGACCCACCAAGAAAAUUGAACAUGUUGAAAGGCUGAUGCGUGAAGUGGGGUAAGUUGUAGGGUGGGCUACAUGUGACUUUGGGCUAAAAAAUAAUAAAGGCUAACCUGGGCCUAUCCUUGGGUCCGUCCCUGCUUGAUGAUCACCUAUGUGAAUGUGGAAGUAAGGCCGCUUUCUAUGAAAAUUUGGGGGAAAUUUUCAAGAACAUUCACUAUAACAGGAUAUAAGUAUAUGGCCAUAACGUGCUUGCUUUUGAACUUCACCCUAGUAGGGCUGUGUGUGUGGUGUUGUCAAAGAAAGAGUUCAAAACUGUAUGUUAUUCUUGUAUAUUCUGGAGCUUUGUCACCAUAUAGUGGUUCUAGUUGAAAAACACAUUUACUUAUGCACAAUCUUAUGAUAUGUUGCUCAAUGAACUUUUUUUAAAACUAAACAAGUGGGGGAUUGUUGAAUUUGGUAUGUUUAUUUUAAAAUAAAUGAAUCAAUAAUUACAUCAAAUCACCUUUAUUAGUUGGAGUUAAAUUUCCAUUAAUAGAGAGAUUUUUCUCUAUUGUUUUAUGCUGGUUUUAAGUCCAUUAACGUCUUUCUUGGUGGUAUAUUAGAGCAUCUCCAGCAAACUCUCUAUCCACUCAUACUUGGUUCUCUAUUUUGGAGAACCAACUUUUGGUUCUCUAUAUCUAGCAAAGAAGAACCUAGACAAAGGAGAUUAUGGGGUUGUUUUAUUCCAGGGACGUAGUGGCCUUUUCUGAACUGCUAGCACAAAUUGGGUAGAGCUGCGAAACUUCUUAAAAAGAGCGACUUAGUAUGCGACUCAUCCCAAAAAUUGUUCCAAGCUACAUAUUGUAUUUUUCGGGUAAUAUUCUCUUAUUUUUAUUUGUGCAUCAAUAGUAAAUAGGAGUGCAAACCUUUUCAUUCUUCUAACUCUAUAGCUCGCUUUUGGCUUCUAGGAUUAGAUUGGAUGGGACCAACAACUUAUAACUUAUCUCACCCAAUUCCCCAAAAUGAUAAAUCAUUUAUUUCUACAUUCAUUCCCUCCUUCAAUUUAUCUUAGUGACUUAUCCAAUCCAAUCUAAUUCUAAGCACCAAUCGAACCCUAAGUCUCUUGUCCUAAACCCUAAACACUAACUCUUCCUAAACUCCUUCACUCAUCAAAAGAGUUUCUUUAGUUCUCUUUUGAUUGGUAGCGUUUCAGAAAUUUGAAUGUUCAUGCAUGAUUUUUAUUUGUGCUCUUUAUCUUCAUGCUCUAUGAAGAUGGCCACAAGGCAGCUACAUCAAAGUGGUUGGUUUUUCCUAUACGAGUUUUCACUGCUUAUAGAUUUUGUGGCAGACGUGUAGAGCACAUAUGGAGGAGAUUUUAACCAGUCUGGCAGACGUGUAAACAUAUCUUGAUAUAUACUCUCCAGGGAAGAGGGCUCUGCCAUUUGUAGCUCUCAUAAUUCAUAGACUUUAUCAUUGUGACCUGGUUCUAUAUGUAUAGUUGAUCUACUUCGGAAUAAGCCCAUCUCUGUGAAUUUAUGUUAUGAGGAAACAAAAGUUGCAAAGACGUUUUUAAUUUCCUACCUCUACUUUCCAUAGUCGGUUCCACAUCAGUCAUCUAAUUUCUCAACCUUUCUCUUUCGCAAAUCUUCUGGCAAGGAACUCAAAGAAGACUUUGAACCAAAGAUUCCAAAAAAUAAAAUAAAUUUAACUCAAGCUUGCAAAUUAAGAGAAGAAGUAAAAGAAAUUUCUCUGACCUUCUUCUGCUUCAAUCGAAUUAUCGAUUAUUUUUUAAAUAUGACAUACCUCCAAGCACCUGUUGUUCAUGUAUCAUUACAUGAAGAUAAAAGUGACACUCGGCUUUGGGACUGUUUAUAUAGAAUCACUUAUGCUUAUAAGCACUUUUAUUUUUAUUUUUGCAAGACGAUAAGUGCUUUCAAAUUAUAAGCAUGUUGAAAUGUUUAUUAAAGAUCCAAGUUCUUAAAGUGCUUCAUUAAGAAACUCUUAGCAGAAAAUGCUUUUAAAACCCAUAAUUAAAACUUAUUUUUUCCAAACACCUUCAGAAAUGCUUUUAAUUAUAGAAAUUUAGUUUACAAUCUGUAUCAAAGGACUUGGGCUGGGGCUGAUUGUCUAUUUUGUUUUUAGGUGUGAGUGGAAUUUCAAACUUAAAUGAGGUUACUUUUGGUAUUUCAAAAACUUUGCUAUUUUAUUUGAAUAUUACAAAAUAAAAAAUUUUAAAAAUAAAAGAUUUUUGCGAUUUUAUCAACAAACCAAAAAAGGGUUAACCAAAAACCCUAAUCUCCGUCAGACGCACAAUUCAUCCUCGCUCGGAAACCCUGUUCCCAGCAAUGAGACACCAAUGGCGUCUGCUUCUUCUCCGAGCUCACCACCGCUCUUCGCCUCACGUGUUCGUAAAGUGUUGUUACUCUCAGGUACACUCCCAACCCAAUCUCCAUUCACUUAGCUCUCUCACUUCUCACUUCCACACUCACACUCUCGACCCAAAGCUUUCACCUUCACACCCCGUUUUCAAUUCCCAUCUCACGACCCCAAUAAACCCUAGAAACCCCUUGUCCCGCAGCCUCUCAUCUGAACCGGCACUUGAGCUUAAAGACUCCGAUCACGGGGCCAUAGCUGAGAUUUUCGCUAAACACAGGGGUGUGGAUGAUAUUAGGAAAGACUUGGAAUUGAACAAUGUUGUGAUUAGCCAUGAUUUGGUUUUGAGGGUUUUGAAGAGCCUCGAAUCGAACCCUGAUGUUGCAAGGAGGUUUUUUGAUUGGGUUUUGGCAUGUGAAGGUGAGAGAUUGAGCUCCAAGUCGUAUAAUUUUAUGCUGGGUAUUUUUGGUGUUAAUGGGUGUGUGAGUGAAUUCUGGGAUUUGGUUGAUGUUAUGAAGAAAAAAGGGUAUGGUGUAUCGAAAUGGGUGCAGGAUAAAGCUUUAGAAAAAUUUGAGAAGGAUGGGUUGGGUGGUGAUGUUGAGAAGUUGAGAGUGGUGUUUGCAUCAGGGUCUACUGACAAUUCCCCAGAUAAGAUUUGUUCAAGGGUGUGCAAGAUUGUUAGAAAUGAGGUGUGGAGUGGUGAUGUUGAGAGGAAAAUACUUGAUUUGAAUGUUGCAUUGUCUAGCGAUAUGGUUAAAGUGGUGUUGGAAAAUCUUAGUACGGAGCCAAUGAAAGCACUGAUAUUUUUCCGGUGGAUGGAGGAGAGUGGGUUUUUGAAGCAUGAUCAACAGACUUAUAAUGCUAUGGCAAGGGUAUUGGGAAGGGAAGAUUGUAAAGACAGGUUUUGGAAAGUUGUUGAUGAAAUGAGAAGCAAUGGGUAUGAACUGGAGUUGGAGACAUAUGUUAAGGUUUUAGGGCGAUUUUGCAAGAGGAAAAUGAUUAAGGAUGCUGUGGACUUGUAUGAGUUUGCAUUGACUGGUGCAAAUAAACCUUCGGUGCAUUGUUGUACCUUUCUGCUGAGGAAAAUAGCGGGUGGUAAGCAGCUGGAUAUGAGUCUAUUUUCUAGAGUUGUUAGGGUGUUUACAGAGAAUGGGAAUGUGUUGACAGAUUCAAUGCUCAAUGCAGUCCUUAAGGCUCUGAACGGUGUUGGUAGACAUGGAGAGUGCAAUAAGGUUUUCAAAGCAAUGGAGGAAGGUGGGCUUGUAGCUAGUGGUAGUUUACAGAGUAAGAUUGCAUUCCGACUUAGUAGUGCUGGCAAAAAGGAGCAAUCAAGUGAAUUUAUUAACAAUAUGGAAGCUUCUGGGCGCAGUUCAGAUUACAAGAUAUGGGCGUCCUUAAUUGAGGGUCAUUGUGUAGCUGGUAAUCUCAACAAUGCUUCCAAUUGUUUCCAAAAGAUGCUUGAAAAAGAGGGGGCCGCCUAUGCUGGUUAUGCUUUUGAAUUAUUGGUAAAUGCAUAUUGCAGAAAGAACAGGGCAACAGAUGCAUACAAGUUACUCCACGAUUCAGUCAAUGAAAGGCAGCUCAAGCCAUGGCAUAUGACAUACAAAUUGUUGAUUAGUAAGUUGUUGGUUCAGGGUGGAUUUAAAGAUGCUCUGAAUAUUCUGGGUCUGAUGAAAAAUGAUGGGUUUCCUCCUUUUGUUGAUCCUUUCAUCGAGUAUGUAUCAAAGUCUGGAACAGGUGAUGAUGCUAUAGCUUUUCUGAAGGCGAUGACUUCAAAUAGAUUUCCAUCUACCUCUGUGUUUCUCAGUGUAUUUAAAGCCUAUUUCAAGGCUGGACGGCAUACUGAAGCGCAAAAUUUCCUUUCAAAAUGCCCGGGAUUCAUUCGUAACCAUGCUGAUGUUUUGGAUCUCUUCCUUUGUGCUCAAUCCGGAGAAGGUGCUGCUUCCCCUGCGUCUGCAGUUGCUACCCCUGCAGCAGCUACACCUGUGGUGGCUGCUUAGGUUUUUUAAGAUUGUAUCUUGUACUGUAUUUCACGAGGUUAAUGUAGCAGAGAAUUUGUUCAAAAAAUUUUGGUUUGAAUAUUGUCUUUGCUCCUACCAUUGAUAUUAAUGAUUAUGGGAGUAUUUUCAACUCUUUUGGUGGAGGAAAAUAAAAUCUAUGGUAUUCAAGUUUCCAGAUGCUCCUUAGAUUUUUCUAAUCUUUUUCUUAUGAUAUAUGGCCUUGGCAUUUCAAGUUCUUAUUGAAUGACCGGAUUGCUGAUGAUAUCACAUAGAUCUAAUGUGCCUCAGUGGUCUGUGGCAUCACACUUUUUUGGGUCAAGUUAUGUUGUGUGUAUUAAGUCCAGUCGUUAUGGUUGUGUUUUGUGGGUUUCAGUUGUCUGGAUUAGGCUUUCAAGACUUUUCAUCUCUGUCGAAUGCUUACCUCUUGCAAAAGCUCUUUAGCCAGUACCUAUAUGUUUUCAGCGAUGCUUUACAAAGAGAAGUUAAAAUGACAAUGACAAGUUCUUGCUCGUCUGUAAGAGGUUGCAGGAGAAGGUUACAGACUUACAGUCUCAAAUUUUUAUAGUAAGAUGCCGAAUUCCUAAUUUGAUUCGAUUCUACUCGGUUGUUUUCUAGAGCUUAUGGAAGAUGUUUACAAGCUGGUUAUAUAUGCAGAAGAAAUCAACAAUUAAAAUUGAAGUUGGCAACAUCUGCAUUUUAAUUGCAGAGGCGCAAGGAGGUGUGCACCUCCUCUCGCUGGAAAGAGCUCUGGAGGUUGUGGAAUUUGCCCCUCAGCUCCGCAAUGGAAGUGCCUCUGCGAAAUUGCUUUUUGUUUGCUGUGGUGUUGCGUUGUUGGGCUGUUGCUCGCAGCACAGCCGCAUGCAUUUUUUAUAAAAGUCCCUAGCCAAAACGAUUCGUUUUGGACCAGGGCAAUGAAAAGACAUAAGGAUAAAGCCUUAUAUUCUGCGGAUAGGAACCCACUGCCAAAUUACAAUUAAUAUUAUUAAUAAUUUAAUACAAAGAGAGUCCUAAAUUGAAUUGAAGAAGCCGACAUACCCAAAUCUCAAGGUCUGUGUUUUUUUUUUCCCCUUUUGGUCUUUUUUUCUUCUGGUUUUUUAUUUCUAUUUUUUUUAUAAUAUGUUUUUUUUUAUAAUAAUUAUUUUUUUUUUGAUGUGGCUUUCUCUGUAUUUUUUAAUUAUAAAGUUAUGAAACAUUACUAGUAAUCUUCAAUCGAAUAUUGCCCCUUCUCUCAAAAAUUCUUGGGUCCACCACUGCACGCAUGUAAUCUUGAUAUGCUUUUCUUAUUCAUGCUGCAACAAGUUCCUGUCCUGCUGCCUUUUUUACUUGUGUUCUUAAUCUUUUUGUUCAUUUCAAGACCAUGCAAUUUAUUUUUCUUUUCUGUUACCGGUUUAGUAUUCAAGAUGUUAAAUUUUUUCCUUCUUUUGUAUUCUAUAAGAACAUUUUCAGUUGAAGACAGGCAUGCCAAUCUGGUAGCCAAAUGGAUUGAAAAGACUUUUCAGUGAGCAAAACGUGAUGAGUGCGACUGAACAUGCCAUUCGGUGGAUUCUUGGAGUUUUGUCCAGUUUGCACACUAUAAAUUGAUACAAACUCGAGCUAUCUUCAUGAAAAUGAGAAAUUUUUUGUUGGAGUUUUCUGUUUGAAUUCUUCAACCCAGGAAAGACACAAGACAACUGAUAUUCGUACACCCAAUGUGCCAAAUUACCAUCUUCUUGUGAUUUACAACAAGUUUUGUGCAGUGAAGGGACCAAGAUGUGGACAAUUGAAGCCUGCCUUUUAUCUUUUCUGCAGAAUUAUUGAGCCACAACUUUGGUGCUCCCUUCCCUUGUUCUGCUGACUUUGCAGGAGACGUGCCAUAUCUCUCGGUCGAGGUGCCAAAGCCCAAAGCUUCCAUAUCAAAUGCAAUGCAGAGCAGUUUUACUGUUUAUCUACACAAACAUACAUCUCUUUUUAGGCCCAUUAACUCAGCAGUAACGGCUAUAAUCUUCAACCCCUUUGAUACAAGCAAUAUUGGAAGAGGGAGAAUUGAACCCAGGACCUCGGAUGUAAAAAUAAAUUGAGCUACAAGCCCGCCAACUCCAUGACUUAUUAAAGUGCCAGUAACUAUUUGGGAGGCAAAUUUUCCCACCCAAAAAGGAAAAACAAGCCAUAGUCAAGGUGGGGUUGAAACCAACAUUAUUAUUUGAACAGUUUUUUACAGAGAUAAAGAGUAAAGAGAGACGCAUGGGCUCAUAGACAAAAUAAUUUUGGUAAAAGGAAAAAAAAAAAAAAAAAAAGUGGGAUGAUCAGAUCACUGAUGAAUCUAUCAGGUUCUUAAAGAUGUUAAAAACAUCAUGCAUCACAAAAAACACAAAGUGGAAAAAGAUGGGGCAUCAUGUUCCCUCAAACUUAGCUUUAUCUAAGCUAUUUUGUACCAUGAAUGUCUUUCAUCUUGUGAACAUUUUAAUCGCUUUAGAUUUCUUGUGAACGACCCCACUUCAAAUAACUUCAGGAAAUCACCUUCUAGAGCCUUUGGAGUUUUAGAGUUUCGCAUAAGGCCAUGUUGAUUCAAUCAGUGAGAAAACCAGAGGACAAUAAAAAUAUCGUCUCAGAAUCUAGACCACAGUGCAAUGCUGUCGUUGUUAACAUAUCUAUCAAUUUUAUAAUAUACGUAUAACACCAAAGUAGUGCAUGUUAAAGGAUAAUGUUUUCUUUUCAAAGCGUGGUAUCUUAUGUUGUCCGACUCUGAAUCGUAGACCAUAUAUUCGAGCAAGAAUUCUAUGAGUCUAGGUCUCUUCUUUGCUAUUAAUUUGGAAAUUUCAGAAAAAAGAGUUUGGUUUUCUUCAACAUCAAACCAUUCCUCACAACAGAAAACACAAGUGGAAAAGGUGAGAGAAAAAGAAAGAGCUUAUCACAAUUUGAAACAGUUGUUAAUGGGAAUCAUUAUUGUAAUGAGGAGGGCCAGAGGGCUCACUCUUAGGGCCACACAAAAGAUGCCCAUUGUCCCUCAGAAAAAGCACUUUUAAUACCUUCACACAGCAUGAUUGCUAGUCUUCUGCAGAAUAUACAACUCUAUCAAGAUGUUUCUAAUAACACUUCUGAUAUCAGCCAUUAAUUAUACAUUUAGGGCUCAUUAAUAUAAUCCUGUCAACGAAGCAUGAGCAUUGCCAUCAUUAGUUUGCUCUUGGAUUCUAUAGCUUAGACACUAAAAAAACAUAUGAAAUCAUGAACCCACAACUUUUUUUUUUGGUGACCAUUUGCAGUGGGCAUCAGAUUUCUACUGUCAUAAGUACUAAGCUUGUGAUAUAUGGAGACAUGCCAUGUAGGUCUAAAUUUUCUGAACCCUAGCUUGUUUGCUCUGUAAUUUCACAUACUCAAUGGCAUUAGCCAAAAUCACAAAAGCAAGAAGCAUGUGGGCUUGUACUUUGCUUGGAGAUCAAAAGGGGCUCUUCUUCUUCCAUUGAAUUUGUUCAAACCUCACCAACUAACUAGUGGAGCAACAAUUAUUUCCUACUCAUUUGGCUGAUGCACUUGUUUCACUCUCUCUGUUUGCAUGCCACCACACCACAUAAAAACAAAAGAUAAAAUAUUUAAACAUUUUUCCAUAUCAAAAUAUAAAAAUUCUAGUUUGAAAACUCUCAUGGGUUUAGUUUAUGAAUAAGGAAUUAAAAGAAUGACCAUAUUUUUUAUUUUUUAUUUUUUCCACAAUUUUCUUCCCACGGGCAUAGAAACAGUAAACAAUGAAAGUUGGAUUUUGUUUUUGGUUGCAAAAUCAUGAAACACGUUAAUUUUCGUAAUGGUUUAAAUUAAUGAUGGUUUUGAGAAAAAUGGGGGUUGCUGCUAAUGAUAUUGUAAAACCCUUGCGGAGUGCAUAAGCAAACAAAGUAGGCACAACAAGACAGCUUGCCCACAAUUUAAAAGGGACCCUACCUAGGUGAUGAUCUUUAUAAGAGAAUCUUACUAAGUUAGAUCACUUAACACAAAAUCGUAAAUGAUAGAUUAUUAAAACAAAUGACAGAUUAGCACUAGACACGAAUAAUUAUAUUUUGGCACAGAAUAUUUGGUUAACUUGGCCGAUGAUCAUUCGAAUUAGUAUCAUUUAGUUUUCAUGUUGUUGGAGAAGUUUAUGAAUUCAAAUUUCGUGAACGAUAUUCGAUUUGGCCCAAACCUAAUGAGUUAACAAACAUAAAGGAUAUACGGCUAAUUGCCUUUAGCAUGCAAAUAUGCAUAUCUUGUUCAAUCAGCGUCACACAACUAAAUGCUCAUUUCAUGCCCAAAGUUAUUCAACUAUGUCUGCGAUCCUCGUGACUAUGCUUUCCUCUUAAUGGAAAUGCAAUUGCUGAUUGUGAUUAGCCUCCAUUUGCUAGCUUGGGGGAGCCAUACAAAAAAAAAAAGCUUUACCAAAGCCAAUCACAGGAUGCCACAUGUAAAGACUAGCCUUUCUGUGCACUUGUCCUGUUUGUGUAGGCUGUUCUUGAUCCAGUAUCAUACAGCACCCGCAUUGUAUCAAUGUCUCAAAGUCAAUUUUCUUAAAGGAAAAAUAAAGGGAGAAAAGGGCAUGCAAUGCAGACAAAGGGUGGGUUAAAACUUUAUCUUGAGGUAUUUGGAUUCAAAAUCUAAGGUUAUGGUCCUGAGCAAUGAGAAUCUACUACUACUAGUGGGUGUGCCUUUUUUGGGGGAUUGAGGUGAUGUGAAGAAAGGGACAAUAAUGCCUUAGCUGCCCUGCCUAUAUUAUUAAUUUACUCUGUUCUUUUCUUCUGCUUGGUCAAUUUCAUUUCUUCUUGUUGCUUACAAUAUGUUUGGCUAUUUGGUACAUGGGUCCUUAACAUCAAUAACCGGGAUUAGAAAAUAAAAACUCCAAUUCAUUAGUCGAUAAAAAUUAGAUGUAAUCGCUUAUUAUAUGUAAUUAAGUAUGUCUCUUUUUCAUUGUGUGAUAUAAGUAUAUAACCUUUUUCUCGUGACAUGCACAUAAAAUUUUCAUCUAUAAAUUCGAAAGUUACAUGUAUAUUGCAAGAUGACGUAGACAAUAAUUUUUCUUAUCUGGAAGUUGAGCCAUUUAGGUGUCUAACUAUAUAUGGUUUUGGCUUGUCAUGGUUCUUUCUCCUACUAGUGAGAGAUUGAUGACGUAGGAAGAGUGAUUGAUUCCCGGGAUUUGUCUACAAAAUAAUUUGGAUGGGCGCAAAAGAUUAACACUUUCUUGGAGAGCUUGAAAUGUGAAAUAGUAUCAUUAUUUGCUGUGAUAAUAAUUUAGAGGGAGAGAAGUGUCCUGGAGAAAAGCGUUUUUGAUGGCAGCUUUUGCUUUUCAAAGUUUUUCUCUUUUUGAACAAAUUUUGGGGAAUGACUGUCUGCUGAAGGGCAGAGAGGGUGAUAGCAUGUGUGAUUUGUUAGCUGAUAGUGGUUUGUGGAAUCUAUAAAGCACAUCCAACAUUUCCAGCACAAAAGAAACCAAAUUAUGAUUAAAAAAAAGCUCCAUAAAAAGUAAUAUUUAAGCUAUACAACAAAUAAUACUAUUUGUGUGUGUGCUGUGUACAUUAAAAAAAUCAAAAACAAAAAUUCUAACAAAGAUCCUCUAAUGGUCAUGGGUCAUGAGUCAUGGUGGUGGGUGACCAAAUCCAUUAUCAACCAUCAGUCACCCCCUCGAGAUUCUCACAUUCUCAUUUCCUUGAAAGAGAAGACGAUGUUUUUGUAACUUUACUGAAUGGCCAAGCUCAGGGAAUGUUGGAUUCCCUCACAGUCUCAAGCAAGGCAUUUCCCAGUUCCACAUACAAAUACAGACUCAUCAUUUUUGUGACCAACUUUUGAGAAACGUAAAUCCAAUAAAAUACAAAAACAAACACUGAUAAUAAUAAGUAACAACAACACCCAUCUCUAGGUAGAUGAUAUAUAUGACUCAAAACUGGCUGGCUAACCAGAAAACAAAAUUUUGUUCCAUUGUUGGAAAAUGUAAAAAUACUAAUCUGCAUUUCAUUUUCUGCUUCUUCUUUUUGUGUGUGUGUGUGGUACAAAUCACUGAAUUUUACUACAAUUAUGUAUGUGUCUUCCUUUAUUCUUAACAUAUACAUAUAUUAUAUUAUCGCUAAAAGCCUUGAUUUGCAAAUUAGGGAUCUCAUAUUCGAAUCCGUAUGAAACUUGACAUACAUGUACUAUAUCUUGAAUUUCCUAUUCUCUCCUUGCCUUUCAAAUUGUUCUUUUUAGUUUAGUAGUAGCUAUUUAUAUAUUAUUUUCUUCACAGUCUCAUGACUCAAUGACAGGCAUGCUAGUUCUUUCUUUUUAUACCACCAAAAGAAGUGGCUUUUUUUCUUGGGUCUGACACAAAGAUUUUCGGUGAAUGGGAUUCUCGCAUGGAGAGAAAGCAAGAAGAGUUGGGGUUGCAAUUUGAAGAUCAACUUAAACAAAAAGAAAUAAACCCAAUUGAGGUUUUGUUUUUCUAGUAGCACUACCAGCCAGCAUAAGCCGCCUUCAGCAUCUGGGUUUAUCUGGUACUUGUGAUAUUUGAUAUACAAUGACAAUGAGGGGAGCAAAAGCUGCUCUCUGUUUCAUGGCAUUUCUGUGGUCUUGGACGUAUGGAAAUGGAUUGCUUUCUCCUAAAGGUGUAAACUUUGAAGGUAACUUCGCAAAUUUUUCUUCUUUCAUUCCCUCAUAUAUCUGCAACAGAAAGGCGCAUUUUUUUUAUAGCUAUAAGUAGUAGGAAAGUGCAGAAUCCUCAUCUGGGUGUUUUUGAUCUCAGUGCAAGCUUUGAUGGACAUAAAGGAAUCUCUGGUGGAUCCUCAUGGUGUGUUAGAUAAUUGGGAUGACGACUCUGUUGAUCCAUGUAGCUGGACAAUGGUCACUUGUUCUCCUGAAAGCCUGGUUAUUGGCCUGUGAGUCUCCUGCAAUUUUUUUUUGUUCUUUAAAUUUAAAUUCAUUUGAGAGCUACAUGAUUACUAGGAAAUGAGAAAAUAUAAUGAAUGCCGUAUGAAGUAGUUAAAAUGGUCUUUGUUUUGCAGAGGAACACCUAGCCAAAGUUUAUCUGGCACUCUUUCUCCAAGUAUUGGCAACUUAACAAAUCUUCAGAUUGUGUAAGUUCUCCAACAACUGGAAAAAAUUUCAGUGCUUCUUGUUCUCAUUGUGUUUAAUAAGGUAUGGUGUUCUGCUUUACUUUUCAGGCUCUUACAGAACAACAACAUAACAGGAGCAAUCCCUCGGGAUAUUGAGAGGCUCUCAAAGCUUCAUACACUUGAUAUUUCCAACAACUUCUUCACUGGGGAAAUUUCCUCCUCUCUUGGCCACCUGAAAAGCCUUCAAUACUUGUAAGUAUCUGUGAUCCGUGCACAUGAAUUGAAGUAUUGUCUCUAUUUGUUUGUAAAGCUAAUACAGAUUAUUUCAAUUGGGUUUUAGGAGGCUUAACAAUAACAGUCUCACCGGAGCAUUUCCGGUGUCGUUGGCUAACAUGAGCCAGCUUGCCUUUCUGUAAAUCUCUCAACCAUUUCUAUCUUAGUGCGGUUAUAUGUAUAUGUAUCUAAUUAAAUUUUGGUUCUGAAGUAAGAUUUUGUUAUUCUGUGAUCUUGUGCAAGUCAGGGACUUAUCCUACAAUAACCUGAGUGGCCCUGUGCCUAGAUUUGCUGCCAAAACGUUCAAGUAAUCUCUCUCUCUCUCUCUCUCUCUCUCUCUCUCUCUCUCUCUCUCACACACACACACACACACACACACACACACACACACACACAUAUAAUAGAGAAUUGAUUUACUAAGUUCUCUCCACCCCUCUCGUUGUUGUUGUUUCAGCAUAAUUGGAAAUCCUCUGAUAUGUGCAACGGGGGCUGAAGCAGAUUGCAAUGGGACGACACUGAUGCCAAUGUCCAUGAACCUGAAUAGUACACAAAGUAUGGACUUUGAAUUUGUGCUGAGAUUUUUUUUCUUAAAUUACUUCCAACUUCCACAGUUAACAGUUUCAAUUGUUCAUGUGAUAUUUGGUUCUGAUUCUGAGCUCAGUUUUUCUUUUCUUCUCAAGCUACUCUUCCUGGAAGACCUAGAAGUCACAAAAUAGCGCUUGCGUUCGGUUUGAGCCUUGGGUGCCUCUGCCUCAUUGUUCUUGGAUUUGGAGUAGUUAUAUGGUGGAGGCAAAGGCGCAACCAACAGGCAUUUUUUGAUGUUAAAGGUACUUGCUGGAUGAUAUAUAACACCAUCAACAGAAAUAUUGAUACAACAAUUUUUGUGUACUGGGAAAGUAAUUGAAUAACCAACCCGCUACUUAAUGCCCUAUCUUGUGAAAUUUCAGACAGGCACCAUGAGGAAAUUUCCCUUGGGAACUUGAAGAGAUUCCAUUUCAGAGAACUUCAGAUUGCAACACACAACUUCAGCAGCAAGAACAUACUAGGAAAGGGUGGCUUUGGACAUGUGUACAAAGGAACGCUCCCAGAUGGAACUUUUGUAGCAGUCAAGAGGCUUAAAGAUGGUAGUGCACUUGGUGGAGAGAUUCAAUUCCAGACUGAAGUUGAAAUGAUCAGCCUAGCAGUUCACCGCAACCUUCUCAGGCUAUAUGGUUUUUGCAUCACGCCAACAGAAAGACUUCUAGUUUAUCCAUACAUGUCCAACGGCAGUGUUGCUUCCCGUCUCAAAGGUAAGACAUCAUGAGUUAAAACUAACAGUAAUUAACCAUUCAGAGUGCCUAUUAUGUGUUGCUAAUUUUGAAUCUCACCGAUCUUCUGACAGGGAAACCAGUCUUGGAUUGGGGCACUAGGAAGCGGAUUGCCUUGGGAGCUGGAAGAGGAUUACUGUACCUUCACGAGCAGUGUGACCCAAAGAUAAUUCACAGGGAUGUGAAGGCUGCAAAUAUACUUCUGGAUGACUACUGUGAAGCUGUGGUGGGAGAUUUUGGGUUGGCAAAGCUUCUGGAUCACCAAGAUUCGCAUGUCACCACAGCUGUGAGGGGUACAGUGGGGCAUAUAGCCCCUGAGUAUCUUUCUACAGGACAGUCCUCUGAGAAAACAGAUGUCUUUGGAUUUGGGAUCCUUCUACUUGAACUAAUCACAGGCCAGAGAGCACUAGAAUUUGGCAAGGCAACUAACCAGAAAGGAGCCAUACUUGAUUGGGUGAGCACACAACACCACUCCUAGGUAGUUUUGAAUUUCAUAUAGUACCAACUGACAGUCCAAUUCAUUUGAUCACAGGUUAAAAAGAUCCAUCAGGAAAAGAAGCUUGAGAUGCUUGUGGACAAGGAUCUCAAAACCAACUAUGAUCGGAUUGAGCUUGAGGAAAUGGUUCAAGUAGCACUCUUGUGCACUCAGUACCUUCCUGGCCAGAGACCCAAAAUGUCUGAAGUGGUAAGGAUGCUUGAAGGUGAUGGACUUGUGGAAAGAUGGGAAGCCUCUCAAAGGGUUGAAUCAACAAAGAGCAAAGCCCCUGAGUUUUCAUCCUCAGACCGAUACUCUGAUCUCACUGACGACUCUUCAUUAUUAGUGCAAGCAAUGGAACUCUCUGGUCCAAGGUGAUUUCCUACUUGAAAAAUUUAUGCUUUAAAAGAAAGCAUAUCAUAGCAACAAGUUAUAGUUGAAGCUAUUAGGUUACAUGGAUAUUAAGAGUUUGUGUUGUAUAUUAGCAGGGUGUCAGAGCUUCAAAAAUUUUGAUGUGUUUUUUUUUUCCAAUUGUACAGAUUCUUCUUCAAUAAACUGACAUUCUUAGAUUCAGAGUUUUUGUUAUAUUGCUAAACAAAGAGUCAAGCACGCUAUUUUGCCGAACUGCCCAACAUGAGAACAUAGGUCCAUCCCCAAAGACUCGCACUAACAUAAUCAAGUUAAUAAGCAAAACUAUUGAAGAGCUUGUUUUAUACUAAAAGAAAGGUGCCCGGUAUAAGUUGAACCAAAAAGAAAAGUUAGAAUGAAACAAGAGGAGCUACUUUCACAUUGAUAAGUUGAAAAUUUUCACAUCUUUUGAAGCUGGCACAAAUUGCUGCAACGAUUCUCCAGGUAGCCUUUCACUUCCAUAAUGCACUAUAGUCAUUUUUUUUAGCACAGGCGAUCGAGCCAGUAAAAACUGAAUCAAUAUCAACUCAGGUAUAACGCCUUGUACAGCUCUUAUAGAUACUUCUUUAAGUUGUUCAAAGUAGAGAUUUGACAAAGACUGUGAGAUGAGAAAUUCCACGCUAGGUCUGGAAUAUGCAGUUGUACCAGCAACCUAUCAGUCAAAAAUCAAAAAAAGAAAAGAGAAAAACCAAAGUCUUGUAAUUCAAAGUCCUUGAACAGAUGAAAUAUGCUUGAAUUAAAUUGCUAGUUGUCCAGAGAAACUUACUGAAAGGAGCAGUUUCUCUAAGUUUGGAGCGCUUCUAAAAAUGCAGAGGCAAACCAUCACUUCUGUCAUACUAUCCAACCUUACAUCCUUGAGUUCAAAAACUGACAGAUGUUGAAGCAUAGUAGGAAGUCUGUCUGGUACGCUAAUAUUACCCAGAAACUAGGGAGUAGAAACAAAUGCAAGCAACAAUCAUAUAAGAUGCACAAAGUUGUUAAGCCAGCCAAAUUAAUAACAAUAAAAAAUAGAGGCCGAAAAGAAACAGCGGAAAAUGAUAAAAUUUACCCUCAGGAAGGCACUGGAUAGGGUAAGUUUCCUAAGAGCAUGUAGACGGCCAAUAAUCCUGACCAACUGGCCUCCUCCAGAAUCGAAGAAUUGGGGUGUGACCCCAACCCUCAAGCCAAUGUCAACAGUAGCCAGUAAUGGACUGUGCUCAAGACAUAUAUCAUCAAAGUUGGAAUCUACUCUCAGAUACUUGAGAUUCGGGUUGCGGAUUCGAAGAACAAUUUGAUGAUCAAUAUCCAACAAAAUCAAUCUUUCAAGAACAGGGGAAUUGCUAACUAAACACUCUAGCAUGCGAUCACUUAUACAAACUCGAUUGAGCUGGAGGGUUGUGAGACUCCUAAAUUCAAUGACUGCAGAAGGUGGCUUGAAUCUACAACCAAAAAGCUCCAACCGGUUCAGCAGUGGACUAGAGAACAGACAAAAAGGCAAGUUGAAACGUUUUACAGAGUCAAACUCCUGCAGGAUCAGCUCCUUGAGGCCUUUGCCUGUUAAAAAACGAAUCCACUGGUCUAAAUCAGAAUGGUCUGGCCGGCAAUAAGCAGCAAGCUUAAACUUCUCUAUAGCACCGUCGUGACAUAACUGAACUUGAUGGAUGAUUUCCAUAAUGGAUCCCCAUCUUGCCACCUUGUCCGAUAUCCGUUUCGGUAUGCAUUUGUCAUGAAGAACAAACUGUGAAAUGCCAGUCCAUUUAUGUCUCCAGUUACUGGAUAAGAUACUAGUCCUCACAACUUCUUUUAAAUCCAAGCGAACGAGGAUGUUGUCCAAUACAUCCCAAGGCAGAUAGCUGAUCCUAUCUCUAUUCUUAUGCGUUCCCAUCUCACACAGUGGCAGAAGACUGAUUCUUGAGAAGUAACUCUGAUGGACGAUUUGUAAAUAAGUACUUUCACAAGCAGCUCUCUGAAACUAGAAGUGCAGUUGGAAGUUGAUAUCUCUCCAACCUGCACAUCAUUAUAUGCAUGUCAUUCAAUUUCUCAUAUCCUUAAUUUGUUUUAGAAAAGUUCAUGAUUUUGGCAUCAAAUAACUGCAUACCAUACAUUGCUUUGAAGGCAAAUACUACACACACAUAGCAACAAUUAAUUUGUCAAAAUUUACUAAGGCAGCCAGAACCCAGAAAAAAAGAAAGAAGAAAACUUUAAAUACCCAACUAAACAAAUCAUGGUGAUCAAAUCCUAACACAAAAUUCUCAGUCUUCCAUAUCAGUCAAGUAAUUACAGUUUAUUUAUGCACACGCACAUGUACAGAGGAAGAAGAAGAUUACCGGCAAAACGGAGUGAUCGGCGGCUGUUUAUGGUUCGAGUGUCAUCAUUUUUACGGAUGAGCUAACAUGUUACUGCAACUGAUAUCAAAUAUUAAAAUCCAUCCAAAUACAUCUGUGGAAAAACAAGAAAUGAGUAAUUAAUUCCUUAACAAAUAAAUAAAUAAGUUCCACGCUGACAUAUGCUCUUACUCGAUAUAAAGAAUCGUAAGUAAAUAAAGCCCUAUUAUAUAGUGGAAGUGGAAUAUAUUCUAUGUUUCCAUUCAAUCAAAAUUCGAAACCUUACAUUUUGUAAUUUGAAAAUUAAGAUUAUGAACAUUCAAAAUUAGAGUUUAUAAAAAUAAAAUAAAAAUUUACAGUGUGUGGUUGAAAUAGACAGAAAUAUUUUUUAGGGUAGAGAAAAUGUUCACAAAGAGCAGUAAGUAUUUAAAAUAAAAAUUUAUGAAUAGGGAUGCAAGUUGUAUUGGAAAACUGAUUCCAUUCCGAAAAUUUCCGAUUUUGGCAAGUCCAAAUCAAGCUUCGAAUACACACAAUUACUAAUUUCAUGUUAAACUAAAUAUAAUUUGAUGACCAAAUGGACAUAGACAAGUUAUUUCAUAAUGGAUAACAACAUAUAAGUACUAGCAUAUAAUAGUUUUCCAAGCUUAUCGUAUGUUUUGAGUCAAUUUUACUCCUUCAAAUGGUUGGACAUGUUUAGAAAUUUAAACUAGUUCCCGAAAUUUUCUAAAAAAAUUUCAAAAUAUGUAAGCUCAGAAUUUUCCGAAUUGGAAUGAAUAUUGAAAUUCCGAAUUUUUUUGGAACGGAAUUGGAAUAGAAUUUUCAUUCCGAAAUUUUUUGGAUUGGAAUUGGAAUCCCCUUAUUCCUAUCCGAUCCGUCUGAAAAUGAGCCUAUUACAAAAACCUUUAUUGAAAAAAAAAAAGGAAAAAAAAGAAAAUAGAUCAAACAUACCCUUAAAUUCCAUUCUAAUUUUUCAACCAUAAAAUUUAAUUAAUUUUAUAUAAAAAAAAAAAUUUUAAAAACAUGAAUUGGUGAAAUGGGGCCAGAGCCCAACAACAAAGACUACAAACAGGCUCUAGCCCUUGCAACUCCUAAAUUCCUUAACUAGCAAACCCACCCACACAAAGGGCUGGGGGAAACAAAACAAAGAAAGAAAAAACAUGCAAUCACGAAAGCACAACUGACCCAAAUUGCUGAAAUGAACUUUGUGUAAACUGAAAUAAGAAACUAUACCACAACUGAGAAGAAUAUUUAUAAAAUCGUGUAAAAUUUACUCAACUGAACUACAACGCAUGUCACCUUUAUGGUUUUCGUCGCGGUCCCUUCGAUAUCGAUAAUGCACGAUAGGUGAGAUGGAUGAAGAGAGAGGCAAAAGAAAGAUGAGAAGAUAGAGUGUUGUGAGGGAUGUUCAUGCAAGGAGGAGAGAGCAGAUUGAGAAGGGUGAGGAUCUUGUUUUGAUUUUACAAAGCCCUAAGUUGAGCACAGCAAAACUUAACUGUUGGAUCAAGAUCAAGUAGGGCACGUAUGCAUGUGAUGUACAAAACGUGUAACCGUUACGCUUGCAGUAUGUAUACAUUCAAUUGGCAGCUAGUAAAUUACAUUUGUAGUACACUUAUAUUGUAUAUACAUACAUUAAUUUCUUUAUAUAUAUAUAUAUAUAUAUUUAUUUAUCACCAUUUUUUUUUUUAAAUUUUGAGAAGAAAAACUAUAUUCUUAUUCGACAUAAGGACCUCGGGCGUCCCCCUCAUUUCCAAGAUAAUUUGAGCUCUUCGAACCAUAACUUCUAGCAUGCUUUUGAGUUGAGUGAAGAACCGAAGUAAUGAAAGCGUGCCGGUUCUGAGAGAAGGAGAGUGUUCUUUAACUGAGGAUCAAGAAAACAAAGGUUAUGAAGGAAGUGCGUUUUCCGUGCUUUAGAAUAGAAAGAAAUUUAGGGGCUCCCUAUCCCUCAGGGGAGGUGAACCUGAGAGGAAGGUAGCUAGAUGGCUUAGUCAGAGGUUGGGAAUGGGUAGUGGAGGACGUGAAACCUCCACUACUAUAACUCCCGAACACUACUAUCUUAAAGGAACUCCUCGUUAAUAGGAACUUCUACUUACAGUUGUUCUUCCUACUAAGAGGAAAUCCAAGUAAAAUACAGAGUUUUGAGACCCUUAAUAAAGGCAUACUUAUAAGGCGUUUUAACAGGGCUUAAUGCCAAACCCUAUAGUUCAACUAACCCAACCCGAUAAUUUAAUUAACCCAACCCAAAUUGGGUUGGGUUGAUUUGGAAUUCAUAUAUUAUAUAUCGUUUUUUUUUGUCAAAAAAGAUUGCACAUGCGAUUUAAAGUGAUUAUUUUAUGCUCUUAAUUAGGGUAACUCCUAAUUUAACAUCCAUGCAACCCAAAUUUAUGUAAACAUGAGAAAUCAACUUCGUCUUUUAAAUACUUUAUUGUUAAAGAUAUAAUCGUCAUAUAGGAUAUAAGCUUUAUCUUCGGACAAAUGUUCGGAAGUUUCUUAAUUUUGUUGAGUUUUGAUUUUGAUCACAGAAGGUGAUCAAGACAAGAAGGCGAACAGAUCGUAUGUACAAUUUGAAUGCAAACAAAGACUACGUAAACAUACUUAUGGAAUGGUUAGGGAAAAAUACCAGGGCAAAUCAAAAUAUAUAUGUCUCCAGCUGAAAGGGAUGGAUGCAACAUUUAUUUAUUUAUUUAUUUUUGUCUUGGCUCCAUUCUCCAGAAGCUAUAUACACAACUUUGUGGUGGAGGUGCAUCCUAAUCCAGUCUCUGGCAUGGCAACUUCCUAUUGGCUGCAGGAAUUUCCCCCAGAGGCUGUCUGAGUCAGCAUCCAACUGAGUUGUACACGUGUUCACUGCAGAAUUGCAGACUCUCAAUUUAGCUGCUCUCUUUUUGUUUACUAUUUUUAAUCUUUAUGUCGACCAUCAGUUUAGUGACUUAUUGACUUAGUGUGAACUAAGUGUAAACUUGUGAAGUAGUUGAAUUUAGCAAAUCCCAGACUUUCAAUUUAGCCACCACACAUAUGAUAUGCUGGUCUUGCUUCCUUUUUGGAAAGUUUUUUGCACAGCGGAGUAACUGAAUUCAUCACAUAUUCCAGUAUUGAGAAAAGAAGUAUGAGUGGACUAAUAACUACUUUAGUAAUUUCUUACAAGCUAGUUGGUCGUUUAUUUCGUGAUCGAGAAAUUAUAAUAGAAUUACCUUACUUUAAACUUGCUUUUGGUAGCUUUCAUGGGUGGAUUCAUCUCUACCUUGUGAUUGAUGAUAGGUAGGUACUAUUGGUUAUAUGACAGCUACAGUUACUUAUAACCAUCCAAACAAAGCAAAUUGGCAUUGUAGAUGCAUGUCUUUAUCAUUAUUAGUUAAUCACAUGUCAAAUAAUCAAAAGAACAUGUAUAAAAAGAUUAAGAUUUAUGAGCAUUGGGAUAAGAGAGAGAGAAAAAAAUGUUGUAGUUAGUAGGUGAGUAGUAAAUUGGAAUUGUCAAUCCAAACAAAUCAGGACUAAUAAUUCAUGGUUAAAUGAUGGAUAUGAGAUGUCAUACGAGAAUAAACACACCUUCAAUCAUAAAUGCAAAAUUAAAAACAUUAAAUACGAUUUACUAUAAUUAUAAAAAAAAAGUUUAAAACUCUCUCUCGACUUCCAACACCAAAAAAUUCAAAUUCAAAUUUGAAAAAUGGUAAGAUAUAGAGUAAGGUCAUGUUUAUUAUUUUAAUUCCAUUUUUACCUCCAAUCUUAUGAGUAGUUUUUUCAUGAUUAAUCAUAUUUCGGUUCUCGCUCAUACUUCAAUCUCGUGAUUCUUUUAUAGAUAAUCUUCGAUUACCUAAAUUUGUUCUAUUUAUCGAUAAUUAUAUGUCUUGGAGAGAGCUUAUUCUUGUACGGCCCGCCCAAUGUUAACAUUCAGAUCGAUUCUCAUCCCUGGCCCUGAAAAGGUGGACACCGCCCGCCUUGCCCAUAUACAAUGAAUUGGAACCACAAUUGAACAAGAGGGCAGGGUAAGUUUUCUCUCUGCUCCUUCUCUAUUGUGCCACGUGUUCAUGGUGGAGUGAAAUGUGAAGAGGUUUCAAAGGGGGGUGUCUUUUGGUGUUACAUUAUCCAGUCAGCAAACACAAAACCUAAAACCUACGGGCAUUAUUUCCUUAGCAUGAAUAAUGAUAUGGGUAGGAAGGAGGGAAGGAGGGAAGGAGGGAAGGAAGGGGUCUUGUCUUGGUAGUAGUUAUGUUCGAUCCAUCAGUAGCAAAGGCAAAACCCAUAAAGCUUUCUCCACCAUGUCUUCUAUUAUUUUUGCCACGUGUAUCCCCGAAUCUUAGCUACUCAUGGUGGGUCCAGAUGGGCCUAAGGCCUAUCAGCAUGCCCUUGGGCCCCACAGGAACCUCUGACUCAGUACGGGGGCCCCACACCCCACAAUUCAUAGCCAACCACAAGAUAACGUAACAACUUUUCUCCGCCACUUGUUGUUGGCCACGCGUCGCUUCCUGGAUUCUUUCCCGCCCCACUGGGCAUUUGGCUCUCUGCCUACAGUUAGACCCCCCCAACUAACCUCUCCUUCCACACUCCUCAACUCAAUUAUUACUCAAAAACUUAAAAGAGUCUGAGAAACAGAGAGAGAUGUUGAAGGAAGAGAGCAAUGGCGCUGCUGCCACCAAAAACUGGGCACGUGUUUGCGACACGUGCCGGUCCGCAGCUUGCACGGUGUAUUGCCGUGCAGACUCUGCGUACCUGUGCUCUGGCUGCGACGCCACUAUCCAUGCUGCAAACCGCGUGGCGUCGCGCCACGAGCGCGUGUGGGUCUGCGAGGCGUGUGAGCAGGCCCCGGCGGCUUUCUUAUGCAAAGCUGAUGCGGCCUCGCUCUGCACUGCCUGUGACGCAGACAUCCACUCUGCCAAUCCGUUGGCGAGGCGCCACCAACGUGUCCCAAUUCUGCCCAUCUCCGGUUGCCUGUACGGACCACAGGCAACUGACCCGGGCGAGAUAGUGGUGGGGGCCGCUGCAGCGGAGACAGAAGAUGGGCUCUUGAGCCAGGAAGGAGAUGAAACCAUUGAUGAGGAAGAUGAGGAUGAGGCAGCAUCAUGGUUGUUGCUCAAUCCUAUGAAAAACAAUAACAACAACUGUAACAAUAACAAUAAUCAGAGUAAUGGGUUCUUCUUUGGAGUGGAGGUUGAUGAGUACUUGGAUCUUGUGGAGUACAACUCAUCAUGUGGUGAUCAGAACCAGUUCACUGAUCAUCAUCAGAGUAACCAGCAGCAAGAGCAGCAGCAGCAACAUUAUGGUGUGCCUGUGCCACACAAGAACUAUGGAGGUGAUAGUGUUGUGCCAGUUCAGAUGCAGAAACAAAGCUUUCAUCAGUUGGGUUUGGAGUAUGAGUCUUCAAAGGCUGCCUACAGUUACAAUGGUUCUCUUAGUAACACUGUAAGCUUCUCUCUCCACUCUACCGUCCAUACAAAUGGUUCUGUUUCUUUGCUUAAUGCUAGCUCAAUAUUUUGUUCAAAUCAAAACCCUCCUAGUAAAAAUUACUACCUGUACUAAUUUACUAGCUUUUAAUACUAUAAUUUAGUUCUAGCUGUUGAAAAUCCUGGCGGGUUAUUAUCCAGUGAAUCAAGUUCUUAUGCUGCUACAGUAUUGCUUUCUUUUUAUCUUGGGAAGCAUGAUUUGGGUUCCAAAUCUCAUCCAAGUCUCAUUUCUGUUCUCCACUAUCACCCUUUUUUUUAGUGGUUGUCUCUGUUUAACAGCUUUAAAGCUAAGUUUCCUUUCAGUGCUGCAACAACUUCUGAGCUAGAUAGGUUCUCAUGUAAUUCUAUCUACAAGUACAAAUAUUCUUGGAGUAUCUUCAGCUAAAUAUAUUUUUAUCUGCACUUUUUUGAGCUUUUUUGUCCCCUUUUCUUUGCUUUUCUUCAUAAAGAAAAGAAGCCAACAACGUCAGUGUUUCAUUCCCUUUGUUUUCCUUCCCCUUUUUACAAGUCAAAAGUGUUACACCAUAAGGUCAUAUUUUGUUGAGAAAUUUGACUUCUGAAGUUUACUCUUCUUGAGUAAAUACAAGGGAAUUUGAGAUCAGAUGAUUUUAAUUCUUCAUUUCUAUUGUUUAUGUGGCUUAAGGAUUUAUGGUCAUUUGGCUGUGAUCAACUCAAGUAGCUCAAAAUCCAAAUAUAAUGAACAAUCUCGCAUACAUAAAUCUUUGUUCGAAAAAUUCCUGUAUCAAUCUAAAUGAUGAAAAUGAUAACUUAUGGUCCUGGUUCAUGAGAUAGAUUUCAUUUCCACAUAUGUUGAGGUCCAUUUUCUUUGAUCAUGUCACACAGGUCUCUGUUUCGUCCAUGGAUGUUGGUGUUGUGCCAGACUCAACAAUGAGUGAUAUCUCAAUCUCACACCCAAGAACUCCUAAAGGGACAAUUGACCUUUUCAGUGGACCUCCCAUUCAGAUGCCAUCCCAACUAAGUCCAUUAGACAGGGAGGCCAGGGUCCUAAGAUACAGAGAGAAGAAGAAGACAAGGAAGUUUGAGAAAACAAUUAGGUAUGCCUCAAGGAAGGCCUAUGCAGAGACCAGACCCCGGAUCAAGGGCCGGUUUGCAAAGAGAACAGAAAUGGAAGUUGAAGUGGACCAGAUGUUCUCCACAACACUGAUGGCAGAAAAUGGAUAUGGCAUUGUUCCAUCAUUCUAAUUACAGCAGAAGAAAAGAGGACCCUCUUCGGAUAACAAUUGUACUGGUUUUUAGUUAUUAUUAAAUAUCUGCUACUGAUACUUACUGUAUCUUUCCCACUUAUAUAUAAUUGGUUUAAGGUAAUGACAUGUAUGGCUCUUCUUGCCAUUGCUAUGCUGUAAAUGCAUUUGCAUCCUUUUAACUUAUAAUAUUUGACUUUCUCAUAAACUACAACUUCACUGUUUGGAGUAGAAGGUGUUUCCUAUUUUAAAGUUAGCAAAGACCAGGCAGGAGAUGGCAUGUGUAAAAAUAUAUAGUGAAUCUUUUCUGCUUAGAAGUUUCAAGUGAUUUAGUACAUGUCUUUCUGGAGAGGGACUGGUUUGUUUUGUUAAAGCACAAGGAGCAUUCCUGCUUUUGUUUGGGCCCUUGCUCUUUUCACAUGGAAUAUCUCAUUUCCGUAGCGCCAAGAACUUUUCUGGAGGCAUUAUACUGCAGCCAACUUAUUCUGCCAAAAUGUUCACUGCUGCAUACCUCGAUGAUUGAUCUGUUAAUUGGAACUUUGCUACAAAAUAAAGACAUGGUAUCCAAGAAGCACAUAUAUUUUCCAUCCAUACGAAAUUCGGAAGCAGAUAUAAGUGAGGUGCAGAUAGAGGGAGUGAAUUCCAUUUUAAAAUCCACAAAUGACAUUCCUCUGCAAAAACAUAGGACAUUCUAGUGGCAGAAUGAACUAGCCAUUUUUACGAAUUAAGUUGUUAUUCCAUCGCUAGCAUAAUCCAGGUAUGUUCCUUAUUGGGAAUAUGAUGAAGAUCCAGUCUGCUUUCUUUGCUAGUGGCAUAGUAACUGUGCCAUCUACAAGUUAAAAUGCUUACUUUGUCUGAGAAAGCAAAGCUCAUAUUUCAUCAGUAAGUGCUGCUCCUCAUCAAUAUGGACAAGACUUUGUUUCCAUCAACCUUCCUCGGUAGUCUCAAAAUUAUAACUUUUCUACACUGAUGAACUUUUGGUUUUCGAUGGAAGGAUUUUCCAUUAAUAUUGGAACACUUUAUAUGCGCAAGUAUAUGUGAAACCAAAGUUCAGCCGCUGAAAGUGGAAUGAACAUAUGGAGGCUAUUGAAGCUUUAAAGCUGGAUGCGCUUUGGUUGCUCCGACUAUUUUCCAAUAAACCUCAAGAAAAAAAAACUGUGUUCAUACUAUUCUUGGGCCCCAAGAUAUCAAUUCCUUGGAUGUAAUAUAUUGAGCAUCUGCGAUUUCCUUUCACUCCUUUUAGACAGAUUCUAACUUCAUCACCACCUCCACAAACUCCUGGAAGGUAAACAAAUUCCGAGAUACAUGUUGAUGCAACUUUUUUCACCAAGGGCUAAGAUUACUUUAUGUGCAAGAAGGGCCUGCAAAAGGAAGGAAAGCAAGAGUGAGAUCUUAGAAGCUCCGGCGGUGGUAUGGUGUGGACUGACAUAGAAUCUGGUCCAUAAGUGCUUCACAGAAGGCAUGCAAGCAUGAGAUGUAAUAUAUGAGGAAUAUUUUAUCGCAAUGUCUAAAAGAGAACACCUUUGAUUCCACUGAACAUCCAGCAAAAGCUGGAAAUUGAUCAUCUUAUUCAAUGGUUUCUACUUUUUUUCAAAAUUGCCAGCCAUUAGCCAUGUGUUAUGCUACAACUUUUUUUAAGUUGCAGGACCAUGCAAAAAGACAAACCAAGUCAAUUAUAAGAGUGCGUAGAAAAAAACUGAAGAGUAAUUCUCCAUGAGUAGGAUCUUCAUCAACAAAGACAUGCUGCACUUUUGCUCACCUUUUCAAAGGAUGUGCACAUCAAGCACAUGGGAGAACAAAGUUCAUCCUCAGAGAAAGAAAGAAAGAAAGAAAGAAAGAAACAUAAAUAUAUAUAUAUAUAUAUGUAUCAUUGUACAGUCUCUCAAGUAGGCCAUUAUCUAUUGCUGUAAGAUGCUGAGCUUUUGGUGGAAGUCAUUGUUAUAAACACAAUGUUGCAAAAUCUGGUUUUGAUGAUGAUGUCUUCCAGCAGAUUGUAGAAAAUGGUUAUAAGGCGCCUUAUAUUUGUUUGGUUUCUACUUCCUUAAGAUUUCAUUUAAUCCCCACUGUUAGUUUCAUUAUGGUUUCUACUUUCCUUAAGAUUGCAGGAAACCAGAAUAUAUCUUAGUGCACAGUUGACAAAAUAAAAAAUAACCCAUCCUGAAUAUGCUAAAACAUUCAAGGUUUGCAUUAACAUUCUGCAAUCUAUAUUUGAGGUGGAAAUUUGACGAGGAAGAAAAAAAGUCAAAAAGGUUGAAGAGAGAAGCAAAAGUGCACAUCAAUUGUAUCAUGUGUGAGAAAAGUUGACUUCACUUUUCACUUUUCAGUACAAAAGGCAGUGUAUAAAGGGUAGCAAAUUUAGAGAAAGAAUGAAUAUGCCUAAUAAUGCCAAGUUGCCAGCCCUUUUGCAAAAGCUGGUGGUGCUGGAUGUGGAUACCCCAGCCAGAAGCUCACACACCCUCUUGCUUUACCAAGUAUUGCCACUUGGCCAUGCCUUUUCACCCUUUUUUUUUUCUUUUCUUUUCUUUUUCUUUUUUCUCUUUUGUUGAUGAGAAGAGAAAAGAAAAGCACAACCACACAACUCCUCCUUGGGUAAAGCUGCUUGGCGUUGUAUCUGCUGACGUAGCACUGUGACCCACUUUUCUACAUCAGCACGAGUCAUGUAUACUCAUCAUAGAAAGAGGGUUUGACUUUAGAAGAGAGGCUAAGCUAAAUAAAACAGAGUGCAAGCAAAGAUAUAAUAAAAAGACCACCUGUGAGGAGUAUAGACAAUUGAAAUGGGCCUUCCAUUUUUGGGCCUCCUAUAUGGGCCAAUAGUAAGGCCCACCACCCAAACAACAUUAACAAGUCCAAAUUGGAUACAAAAGCAAAUGUGGCUACUCAUCUUUUCUUUCUUCCAAGGCUUUUCACCCUAUAACUUACUGGUAAAUAAGAUUUUAAAUAUCGAGAAUUUCGAAAACAUUAGUAGUUUAAAAACAUCGAAAUAUUGAGUAAAAUAUUGAUAUCGAUAAAAAUUAGAUAAAAAUCACAUGGAAAUUUUUAAUGAAACUUUAGAAGUUUAUUUAGUCAAUCACCUAUUAUUUUGACACAAAAAAUUGGAAGGAAAUGUAUUGCAUAGUGAGUUUGAGUGAUUUAAGUUGAUUAUAUUGCAAGCUGACAAACUCUGUGACUUAGAAAAUUUGGAGUAAUUAAUGAAAGAAAAUUAAACACCCUAUAGUAAUUUAUUUAUUAUUUUUACUACAAUAUUUUACACUUUAUAAAUUGCAUGGUAAGACACAUGAGUAAUCUUAUUUCACGUUAUUUACUGGACAUGGUACACUUUCUUAUAUUUAUUAUUUAUCAAAAAUUAAAAAAUAAUUAAAGAUGUAAACCAACUUGAGUUGUCAUGAAAAUUAGGCACUUUACCAUGCUUAAAAAAUAAUAGUGAAGAUUGAAAAUUAAGUAAGAACAUAAAUAAAUUUAUCCUAUUAAAUUAGAAAUAAAGAAAAUAAUUAUAAAAAUUAUAAAAAUUUAAGUAAUUAAGCAACAAUUUGGAGGGAAAUUUAGUAAUGUAAGUAUUAUAAUGAAUAAUAAAAUAAUCAAUAACAUUAAAUGGAUUAAAUAGGAAAGAAACAAAUUAUAUUAAGUAAUUAAUCAACAAUAUAAAACAAUAAGUAAUUGUGUUCAUUUCUAUUUUGAGAAACAGCUCGCAAGAUUUAUAAAUACGAGAUUCCAUAAAUAAUAAUCACAAAGUGAUGACUAGCAUGGUGGUUAAAUGGCUCCAGAACUUGGAAGGGGAAGGCGUUCAAACCCCUAUGUGCAUGAGUUUAAGUGAAUUAUUUCAUUUUUGAAACUUCAUAUAUUAUCACGAUAUAUUGACUAUUUGCAACUACCACUUAAACAAAAUUAUCGGAGUUCGAGUCCUAGCAUCCGUGUAGUGUGCGAGUUUAGUAUGCUAUCGCCCUUCUCAAUAAAAUAAGACUUAGCGUAUUCCCCAAACCACUAUCCCAGAUGUUUUUUUUCUAUCAGACGUGACGCGCGCGGGGGGAGGGGGGGGGGAGGAGAAUAUAAUAAAAAAAGCACAUAAUUGGUUCGAGAUAGAAAUACGGGGGAAAGAAGCCCAAAAUAGUGCGCUUGAACCCGAGCCGAGCCAAGCAGCUCCCUACCAAUCUAGCCGAGCUGAGCCGAACAGCCCAACCAAUCUGGACAGUAGCUACCCCUCUCUCUCGAACAUAGCUACUCAUGCUCAACUGAACAUCCCUGAAGUAAGUCCUUUAGAUCCCAAUACUUCUCAAAAUAUUGUUGAAAUUGUGAAAAAAUUACGUGCACGAGCAAAUAUGGGAAUACCACUAGACAGAUUCUCACCAGAAGAGAAGGUGAAAUAUGUCAUUGCUGAUUACGUCUCCCUACACAGAUUGUCUCCUCAAGCUAAAACAUUUGUUAAUCAAAUGAAAGGAAUUAAAAUUCCUAAUCGAUUGGAAGAAGACUUGCAAUCCAAAAUGGGUGGAAGCAAUGAAUGUGGAGAUGGAGACCUUACAGAAGAAUGGAACAUGGGAGAUAGUUCUACAACCUGAAGGAAAGAAACCUGUUGGAUGUCGAUGGGUGCCCACAAUUAAGCACAAAGUUGAUGACAUAAUAGACAGAUAUAAAGCAAGACUUGUGGUCAAAGGGUAUAAGCAGAUGUAUGAAGUUGAUUAUUAGGAUAUUUUUGCAUCGGUGGAAAAAAUAAAUACGGUGCGAGUUCUAUUGUCUUUAAUAGCUAAUUUAGAUUGUCCUCUCAAGAAAUUCUAUGUGAAGAAUGCCUUUCUGCAUGGAGAUCUAGAAGAAGAAGUGUACAUGGACAUGCCAUCUAGUUAUGGAUUGUCUAAUAAUAGUGGGAAGGUGUGUAGGCUUCGAAAGACCCUUUAUGAAUUGAAGCAGUCUCUGCAAGCAUGGUUUGGAUGGUUCACUGAAGCAAUGAAGAAGUAUGGAUAUCAUCAAAGUAACUCAGAUCAUACCCUAUUUAUCAAACAUAAGGAUGGUAAUAUUACUUUGUUGAUAAUUUAUGUUGAUGAUAUGAUAGUUACUGGUGAUGAUGUUGUUCAAAUGGUUAAAUUACAGAAGUACUUAGCCUUAAAGUUUUUGCCAAGCUUGCUCAUUCCCUUUUUCUGAUUUUGAGUAUAACUUAUUAUAUAAUGAGUAGAGGUGGAUGUGGUUCAAAAACUACAAUUUUUCCGACAAACCGCAAAGCGCUUGAGACAAUGCGGUAUUGCAUAAUUUCAAACCGCUGUCUUUCGCAUAGUUGCGGUUAACUGUGAUUCGGUAGAACUGCAACUCCGGUAGGAGUCUUCAAAAAAAGUGGUAUCCAUCGAUUGACUAAGAAAAAGGGAGAGAGGGGGAGAAAUCAACCGAGAAAGAGAAGAGGGAGAGAGAUGAUUGGGAGAGAAUGAAGAAAAUAAAUUGCAGAUUGAAGAGAGAGAAGAAGAAAAGUAGAACAGGUAGAGAGAAAGAAUAAGAAAAUAUAUUAUAUAUACUAGCCUCUCCGCAAGUGCUUCCGCGCUUACAUGAGGUUUUUUUUUUUUGGUUAAAUUUAAAUUUAUUUUAGAAUUAAAAAAGAUAAUGAGUAGUUGUGUAGGAUCAAUUAUCUGAAUUUUCUUUUAAUUUUAAUUUUUUUAAUAUGAAAAAGUAUGAAUUUACCAUAUUAUCCUCAUUUAAUUAAUAAUUUCAAUUCUUUCUUUCCGCUCGAAACACAGAGAAGGUUCAUAGAGAGAGGUGGCGGUGAGAGCAGUAGAGAGGAGCAUAGUGAGAGACUGAGACAGAGAGCAGAGAGAGGUCGACGAGAUAUCAGAGAAGAGGAGAGAUAGCUUCGCGUUGAGAGUUCGAGAUUGAAGUGAGAAAGCUCUACGCCGUCUCUGCAUCUCUUUCCCGCUCUCCUCUUUGUUUAGGUACCAUAAUGUUUAUUUAAAUUGACAGGUUUGAUCAACGUGCUUAUGACAAUUGUCUAUGUAAUGAUGUUGUAUGAUUCUCGUGUAUGAAUUUAAAGAAAUGUCUCUUUGAAUUGAAUAGGGAACUUAAAAUGUUGCCAAGAUGGAGCAGAGCUGUCACUCAGCUCUCAAGGCUGGGUUCACAGCGUAACUUGAAUCUCAAAAAUUAAUUGUAUGUUAUUUCUUGCCAAAGCUAUGGCAGGGCUGCUGCAGCUGUGGCUCCAGAUACAGCUAUCACUGUGGAAAAACCUCUCUCUAGUGAGCCAGUGGUACGUUUUUUAGCUACCCAUCUGCAUUUAUGUGUGUAAGGUACUCACUUGUGUCUGUGUUUGGAAAUCAAACUUGCUGAUUUAGGUAAUAGUUGGUUGUAGUUUAAAUUAAGUUUGAUGAUUUACUUGUUAAUGGACAUAGAUUAUCCGGAAAUUAAAUCAUUAGCCAUGAAUCAUUCUUGUGAUCAUGUAUUUGUGUGUCUGUGUGUUGUUGGCCUUCGUCAAGCUGAAGCUUCUAGAAUUAUUUCAUUGCUGAGACUUAGUGUACCAAUGUUCAACAGGUAAAUCUAGACAAACUGUUUUGGUCUAAGCCAUGCUCAUUGGCUUUGGCCCCGGACUCCCCAUUAAGAAUUGAAGAGCCACAAUAUGCGGGAUUUAAACAUGCAAUCCUUAGGCUGAUGUUGUUUUAUAGCAAACAAAGCACGUCCAUUCGAGGGGCAAAUGUGGUAUGUAAGCGAAUCAUUUCACAAGUUGAUAAACCUGCCAUUUAUGAAGGUCAAAUUUUCUCUCUUCUUUCCUCUGUAUUUUCUUUAAUAAUCUUGUGGAUAUGAGGAUAAUUGGAAAUGUUUUUAAAGCAAGCUUAAUGGUGAGCUAAACUUUUCUCACAAAAUAUGCAGUAUUCAACUUGGAGAAAACCUUUAAGACAACAUUCUCUCUACUUGUACUUCAUAUGUGGCUUUGCUUACGCCGGUUGAAAGAAGACGGAAAGGAAGGAGUUGAAUUUGGGCAAUACAUAUACGAGACUUACAAUCACGAUGUGGAACUUAUAGAGUAUCUAAGGCUGGGGUAUGUGAUUAGUUCUCUUAUGUUAAGCUACAUAAUCCGCUUUGAACUUAAUGCUUACUGACAGUUUAGUUGCUUCUUGUUAAUGUUAUUUUCAGAUAAAAUCAAAUUGGAGGUCAUCAACUGUUUUUAAAAAGAAUUUUAAGUUAUUUGUUUAGUAUGGGUCAACAAACACAGGGAGUUUUCCAUAAUGAAUCUGUUUCUUAGGUUUUAACUGUUGUGCUUUUGGAAUAAGAGGUUAUGAGAACACGGUAUAAUUAUCAAAAAACCUUUGUAUAAUUAUCAAAACCUUUGUUUCUUAGGUUUUAACUUGUAGAACACGACCACAAUAAAACCUUUGUAUAAUUAUCAAAAGCAGCUCCGUUAUUUUUUCAAUUAUUUAUAAAAUUAAUUUCGCCUUGAGAAUUUGCAGACCAAUUGCUAGUCUUGAUGUAAUUAUGCGUUGGUUGUGAAUUACCAAUUAUCAAGGUAUUCGGUCGUUCGUUCCAUUUAGAUGGGGUAUGUCGCUCUUUUUUUCAUUAUCCCUGAAAAUGCUUUUGCUUUGUUAUGUUAGUUCUUGCACUCUGAAUUUGUUCAGUAUUCUUUCCCAUCAUAUAAAUUGCAUUCUUUUCCACGUAGUACAUGCAUCAGAUCAGAUGAAGCAACUAAGCAAAUUAUCAUAUUUAUAUAGACUAAAAGCGAAAGCUGGCUCAGUUUCCGCGAGUGGGGAUUAGUCGAGGUGCGCGUAAGCUGGCCCAGACACCUCAUGAUACUUACCAAAAAAAAGAAGAGGAAAGUGACAAAAAAGAAACAUUAGUUAUCAGCUUCAAAUGGAUGCUAUAAUUCAGAGGAUUGCAAGCUUUUAUUUAAAACAAAUAGACCCAUCCGAUCAUUGCAAUGAGGAAUUAUAUUGAGAAGCUUCCCCUUAGAGAUCAAGGCGACUCGGCCUUGUUUGUAUUGGGUUUGUGCCUAGUUACUUAUGUCACAGGCUUGUGGACUUGGAUCUUCUUGGGGCCUUAUGGCGAGGAGGUGCAUCCAAUUUUUCUUCCUCAAUUUCCUGCGUAGGUAAAGGGAAUGUCAACAUAUAUCCCAAUGGCAAUAGGAAGGAAGUCAACGAAAAAGAGUUGAUUUGUAGGUGGGUCCUACACUCCCACAACAUCUGAAGGUCGUCCUAUAAGUAUACGUGCAGCCAUGCAUCUUCCCUCCAUCUCUCCAAGCAAGCUCUUCUCUUCUCUUCUCUCUUGUUUUUUCUUCUUUAAAUCGUUGAUUACAGAAGUUGAAUUUGAAGCCAUCAUUUUAAGACAAUGUUCAUUACUUAUGCUAUCAGGAAGCCUUUGACUUAAGGGCAUUGUGCUUUUCGUCCUUGUACCAGCUUCAUAAUGUUUAUUUGGAAUUCUGAAUCAUGUGUUUCACAUAUUGUGCAGGGGCCCCGGAUGACCAAGGGAAAUUAGCAACAGUUUACAAGUCCGAAAAGAGGAAUGAGAUGGUGAAAGAGGGAUACAGAAUUCUUGGCAACUCUGGAGACCAGUGGAGUGACAUACUAGGUACCUCAAUCUCAAUGUCCAUCCGCCCAUUCAAGCUUCCGAAUCCAAUGUAUUAUAUUCCAUGAUAGGGCAAGCAUCUUCAUUGAAGGGGAAUUAAAUAAGAAAUAAAGAAAAUGGUUAUAGAGAUUUAAGUAAUUAAGCAACAAUUUGAAGGGGAAUUUAGUCAUGUAAGUACCUGAUCUCUUAGACCCCUGUAGUCCAAGAGAUUUAUGGUCACUCACCGUUGGAUGUAAAUUCAACGGUUGACUUGAAUCGGGUAAUAAUCAUUUAUGUCAUAUUGCAUUUAUAUAUAUCAUUUUGAACCAUUGGAUUAAUAUCCAACGGUGGGUGACCACAAUCUCUUGGACUCCUGUGGUCCAAGAGAUCGGGACUGCUUAUAAUGAAUAAUAAAAUAAUCAAUAACAUUAAAUGGAUUAAAUAGGAAAUAAAUAAAUUAAAUUAAGUAAUUAAGUAAUUAAUCAACAAUAUAAAACAAUAAAUAAUUAUGUUAUAAAUACGAGAUUCCAAUAAUAAUCACAAAAUGACCACUAGCAUGGUGGUUAAGUGGCUCCAGAACUUGAAAGGGGGAGGGGUUCGAACCCCUUUGUGCGUGAGUUUAAGUGAAUUAUUUAAUUUUUGAAAGUUCAUCAGAUGUGCCCAAUCAUGUCUUAUAGGGGAAGAAUAUAGUAAAGGAAGCACAAAAUUUCUUUGAGAGGAAUACCACUAGACAUAUUAUCACUAGAAGACAAGGUAAAAUAUGUCAUUGCUGAUUAUGUCUCCACACACAGAUGGAGGCCUUACAGAAGAAUGGAACAUGGGAGAUAGUUUUACAACCUGAAGGAAAGAAGUGUACAUGGACAUGCCACCUAGUUAUGGGUUGUCUAAUAAUAAUGGGAAUGUGUGUAGGCUUCGAAAGGCCCUUUAUGGAUUGAAGCAGUCUCCUGAGCAUGGUUUGAAUCGAUGGUUCACUGAAGCAAUGAAGAGGUAUGGAUAUCAUCAAGGUAACUCAGAUCAUACCCUAUUUAUCAAAUGUAGAGAUGGUAAGAUUACUUUGCUGAUAAUCUAUGUCGAUGAUAUGGUAGUUACUGGUGAUGAUGUUGUUGAAAUGGUUAAAUUAUAGAAGUACUUAGCCUUAGAGUUUGAGAGGAAGGACUUGAGGCCUUUGAAGUAUUUUCUGGGGAUCGAAGUAACUCGCUCUGCUACUAGUAUUUGUUUAUCUCAAAAGAAGUAUAUUCUAGACUUGUUGACAGAAACUGGUAUGUUAGGGUAUGCACCAGUCGAAACCCCUAUUGUGCAGAACCAUCACCUCAAAAUCUAUCUUGAUCAAGAGCCAACCAACAAGGAGAGAUAUUAGAGGUUAGUGGGAAGAAUAAUUUAUCUUUUUCACACUAGGCCAUAUAUCGCAUAUGCAGUUAGUGUUAUUAGCCAGUUCUUGCAUUCUGCUAGUGAGGAUCACUUAGCGGCAAUUAUGAGGAUUUUGAGUUAUUUGAAGAAAGCUGCAGGCCGCGGCUUGAUAUUCAAAAAUUUGGGACAUUUAGAUGUCAAGGGUUAUACGGAUGGAGAUUGGGCAUACAAUAUAACACAUAGAAGUUCUACAUUAGGUUACUUCAUUUUCAUUGGGGGUAAUUUCGUUACAUGGCGACGUAAGAAGCAGAAUGUAGUGGCUCGAUCUUCAGCUGAGGAAAAAUACAGGGGCAUAGCACAGGGAGUUUGUGAGCUUCUUUGGCUAAGGAUAAUCCUAUCUGAAAUUGAUUUUCCAUCAAAGAAAGUCAUGGAGCUUUACUGUGACAACAAAGCCAUGAGAGAGAUAGCAAAUAAUCUGCUUGGGGAAGAACAUGACAAAACUAGAAUAGGCAUUAUAUUGAAUAAAUAAAAUUCAAAAUUUACUAAUAAUAAGAUAUACAUAUGAUAAAAUAUAAGUGGUAUGUAAUGCGCGUUAAUGAAAAGUUUGAAAAUAAAAUGUUGAUUAGAAUGAAUAAACCAUGCAUAAAUCCAUAGUUUGUUUAAACAUUGGAUUACAAUCUAGAUAAGUGUCCACCUAUAUAAAUGAAGAGCUCCUAUGAGGUUCAAACAAUGAGGAACAACUAUCUAGAUUCAUACAAUAGUCAUACCAAGUCAUGUAACCCGAGCAGUUUGUAAGCCAUGUUUGAACAUGGUGCACAUAGGUUUCUCUUGAGCUCCCUACUGUCCAUAAUUUGCUUCAUCAUCUUGAGCUUCAUAACUAGUUCCAUUAUAAUCAGACAUGACAUAACCAUAGCCGUCAUAAGAUUCAUUUAAGUUAGUACUAGGUCUAGCUCAUAGAUCCAAAACUGAUCGCCAUGUCCUCUUCAGAUUGAUUGGAGGUAUGUGGGCAAUGGACUGUGCAUAGAUUCUUCAUAUUAAGAAAUUAUAGGGUUCUGAGUGAGGAUUAGCUAUUUUUGGGUUUCAAUUUGCUUCAAUUGCCUUCAUAACAUCUGAAUAUUUUUUGGGUUCUGUUAUGGGUAUCUGGAAAUAUCGGCGAUAUCGGCAGAAUAUCGGGGAUAUCACACUUAAAGGGGAUAUAUCGUAGAUACAGGGGAAGAUAUGGCCUUACUCCCCCAGUAUCGGUUUCAACAAUUAAAAAUACUGAUAUAUCGGUGUAUUGGCCGAUAUUUCAAUCCUUGCUUGUAAUUAGCUAAUUACCUUUCCUUGUAGAAAAAGUCAACUUGUAUUUGUAUAUAUAUCCUCCUCUUGGAGAAAUAUAAUAUUCAUUCACAAUUAUUUAAUCCAUAUGUGUUUAGUUUGAGUGAUAUUGCGUUUUCCGAUGUGUAAGUUUUUCAGUCUAUAACUUACAAGUAAGAGAUAACCAUUUCACUCUGUAAGUUACUGAUAAGAUAUUGGCUUUUCACUAUAUAACUUACUAGUAAGAAAUAGGCCUUUCAAUUUACCAUCAAAACUGAAAUCUUGGUGGAGGCUCUGCACGUCAUCUCAAUUUACCGUCUAAACUGUCUAUUCAUUUAUGACAGAAAUAGUUAGCGAUUAUUAUACUUUUGAUCAUUUACUAAAUUUGGAUCUCCCUACAGUAUUUGUUCGUUGCUCGGAUGAUUUGUGCGAGAUUUGUUGUGAUAUUCCCUUUGGGGUUGAGAAUUUGUUUUACAAGAAGCCAAGCCAUUGGAGAAUUUUUGUUCUUUCCUGUUUUGGGGAAAUUAUUUUGGUGAGUAUGUUAUGACAGUGUUGUGAUCUAAAAGCCAAUCAAUCAUUUGGGUACACGUAUUAUUGGAAGCCACUUGAAGGUUCUAAUGUAGAAAAAUCCUAAGCAUACAACUAACUUGACCAGCUCAAAAAUCAUCUCCAAAAUAAUUCUCUUUCUUCUUCUUCCUCUUCUUACAAAUUUGACAAAAAAUAUUUAACUAGGGAACAUUCACUGGGAGAUGUCAUGAUCAGUGAGGGUAUUAAGGGGUAAGAUUGGAAUUAAAAAGUUAGAGCAGAUUAACCUAGAGAAACUUCUAUAACACUCAAUGCCCAGGUGGCCAAUCAAAGGAGAAAAAAAAAAAAACACCAAUCACACAAUCACUAUUUAUGUACAACCAAGGCCAUAUGUGUAACUUUCUAUAAAGCUAGAUCAAACAACUUCUUUGUUCUCAUCAGAUCACUGUGGUGCUUUAUAUAAAGCUUAUAACUUCGGAAAUACACAACAUAAACGGUUUGGAAAAGGAAAGAAAGAAAAGAAAAACUAGAGAGGGAAAUUAUCAUUAUUAGCUAUAACUAGCAAGACGCUAUAGUGAUCUUAGAGCAAUGAGGCCUUCAGCAAACUCCACCUCUGCGGCUACUGGCCAGGAUGCCGUGCUCAGAAACUGGAAGUCUCCAAUACCAUACCUCUUCGGUGGCCUAGCCCUCAUGUUGGGGCUCGUCGCGGUUGCACUGCUGAUUCUUGCUUGCUCCUUCCACAAAACGCCGUCGUCCAACAGCUCAACAAGCAGUGAUGCAGAUCAAGAUCAGAAACCAACUAGGCCAGUGGACAUAGAGGCUGCAGAUUCUGAGCCCAAGAUUGUUGUCAUAAUGGCUGGAGAGAAAACAGCAACAUACUUGGCCAAGCCAAUGUGUUCCAAUACUUACCAAACCGAUCAAAGUGUUUGAAAUCUCUGCUUCAAAAUGCCUUUCUUUUUGUUUUGUUUUCUAUCUCGGUUUCUUGCAGCUCUAUUUGUUGGUCUCUCUCUCUUAGUACAUGCUUGUUAGCUGUUGCGGGAAUAUCUAAUCGAAGAGAGCUCUAUAUAUAAAGGGUAUAUGUUAAAUCAUAAGAACUUGUUAUACAAUUCAUUUUCUUCUCUUUUCAAUCUGUUCUUAUGUGAGGAUGAUCUAUAGCGAGCUAGUUUACAAUCCGGUUCUCAACUUGUUAGGCUUCAAAGUUUAGGACAUUGGCCUUGAUUCGAAAUUAAUAAACAUUUAUUUUUCCUGCUGGGUUAUUUUCUUUUUCUUUUUUCCUGCUUUGUGAUGAUGGUGCUGUAAUCUUUAAGCCAAGCAAGCUUGAACUUGGGCAAAUCUUGGGUUGAAGGUUUCCGUAGAGAAAAGUUCAACAAUAUUCCACGUGAGAUCACGUGAGAUGGUAUUUAUUUCAUAUUUUGCAGCUAUAAUAAGAAUCACUUGCACAUUUGCGACUGCUUCUCUAAGAUGCACUUCUACUCAUAAUUGUUUUUAUUAUAAAGAUGUUGAAAUUUCAUAAAAAAUCAAAGUGCGUCCUUGAAAAAUACUUAGGAGUGCUUCCUGAAGAAGUGCAUGACAGGUGCUUCUCCAGAAAGCACUUCUAUGACCCAAAAGCACUUCUAGACUUUUCAACCAAACACUGUAAAAAAUGCUUUUUGUUGUCAGAAAGCGCUUUUAGCCCUUCCAGAAGCACUCCCAAAUGAGAUUAAUAUUAGGUUCUUAAUUAUUUUUACCUUCAGGUUCAACAAUUUAAAUCUCAUAUUUGCAAGCUUUUCCCCAAAACAGCUUUUUGCCGCUGAAUUCCAACUACCAUCACUUGAACGAAGGGAUAAAUAUGAAAAAGAUAUUAACGUUAAUUACAAGGUGGUAUGUAUUAUUAUAUCCAUCAAUAAGCUGACUUAAUUAGAAGAAGUCGGACCCCCUGCAGUCUGCGCAAGAGUCUUCCAUCAAUCCCAUAAUUACCAACUGCGGUCUUUUAAUACGCUACUUUACCACAUCUUUAGCCAAUCUUAAGCCAACUAUGUUUGACAGAAAUGCAAAAGCCGAAGAACGUAACCAAUGGAUUUAGAUUAAACAGAGAAGUGGCUUCUCGGAGAUGUAUUUUUAGAGUGCACAUUUUCUUGGAUAUGACACAAAUUAGUAUAAAAGGAACUCAAUUUCCAUUUUGGACGUCAUUAAGUCUAGACGUGUGGACACAUGAAAUGAUGAGUUCCACUGGGUUUUAUAUUUAUAUAUUUUCACAUUUUCUCUGAAGUUUCUUAGGAAAGUGUUAUAGAAGUUGACCAAAUCCAUAUCAAAAUCUCAUUUUCUUGAUGGGAAUAGUUUAAAUCUUUUUUUAUACAAGCACUACUGAAGGAGAGAUGAUUCGAACACCGAACCUCCAGUCGAGUGUAGAGAAAAUUAUUUUUAACCACUUAAGCUAUAAGCCCUAUACUAAUAGUUUAUAUAAAUUAGUUUGUCAUCAAUUAUACUUUCUUGAUGGGAAUUUAUAAUUACCUUAAUGCCGGGGGCACAAGGUCAAAACCACCUCAACCAUGAUAGAUAAACAUGAAAACCAAUUUAUAUAAACUAAUUAGUUUAAUAAUUAUUAAUGGGAGUUUGGCAGAAUGCAUGGAGUCAUAGACCAUGGUAUUGGAUUAGGUGAAAGAGAAGUGGCGUCUCGGUGAUGUAUUUUGCCUACUGUUACUAAUGGAAGACCUAGAAAUUUAGAUCCAUACAUGCAAUAUUAAUAGUAAAAGCAAAAAAAAAAAGGUGGUGGUUUUCUUAGUAUAUUAGAAUCUUGGAUAUGGCAAAUUAGUCUUAAAGGAAGUGCAUUUCCACAUCAUCUUCUUCUUUAGUGGGAAACACUGGACAUCAUGUAUGAAUAUGCUAAUUUUCCACUAGGUUUUUUGUAUUAUUUAUUUAUGUUAGAAUAUAUUUUGAAAUUAUCAUGUGAAAUUAAUUUGCAUAUUCACAAUCGUACAUGCGCACAUGAACAACUUCGCUAGCGCAUAUAUCAUCCUAAUUCCCUUAUUCUUUAGCUAAGAAUUGAUGCCUCAAACCUAUGAUGUACUACUGCCUGCCACUGCUUGCAGUGUCGAGACUACCUAGAAAAAGAAAAUUGUUUCUAGACUGUAGGGUUGAUGUCUGUGGAUGCAAAUAUGCGAGGGCUUGAAAACGUACGCAUGUAGGGUUUACAAUGUUAUACAUGUGAAUGUUAUGAACGAAAUCAAAUUGGAUAUCUUUUAAAGUUGAAAAAACAAAAACAUGGGGAUUUUCUUUUCACCCUCAUCUGUUUGAAGUUGGCUAAACAAAACUGAUGGGAGGUUGAAAAGUUUUCAAAAAAGUUGGUUCUCCAUUUCAACAAUUCUUUUUCAUUUGUGGGACAUCAUUAUAUAUGCUGUGUUAGUGUUUACAUCAACAUUUCGUGCUUAGCUUUUUAUAUAGAAAAAGGAAACUUUUUUGGAUGUCACUGAGAUAUUAAAGGGAAGAUGUCAACAUGCAUAUAGCUGGAAGGAUUGCGUUGUUUGACGUCUAUGUCUAGAGGCCUUGAUUUCAUGGGAACAUGUUCACCUCAAGAAGCUGAUUGAAGCUGCUAACCACUUGUGAUAACCUAGACCACACAAUUUCUUCAUGCCUAUCCAUAUUUAAUUAUCUGAAAAAAGUUGUACGCAAAGGUCUUUUUAACAAUAAAGUUUCAUUGAUCAAAGAAACCCUAAAAACACAGAUUGCACAAACAAAUCUAAUUGCCUCCUUUCCUUUUUGCGUCGUUUUUUGUAUAAUUAAUUUGCAAAUCUCUUUUAGAUCAUGAGGUUCUCUUUACUUUUAAAGAAGAGUAGGUAUGUGAUUCGAAUUCUAGCCUCGAGUGCGUGGAUACAUGCUCACUAGCUACCCAGUGAACCUGCCCUACAAGCCCUACAAGCCAGAAGCAUGAGAUCCUCAUUUGAUAAACAAAAAGAAUGAUCAAAAUUGCAUUCAAAGUGUCGGCAUGCGUUGGAGUAGAUCGACACAUAGCUUGCUUGGAAACCCAAUUAGUAAAAGUGAAUGUUCAUAAUUAUUAUGAAAUAGCAGAAUAAGAAUGUGGAGUUGAGGGUCCAAACUUUUUUCUUUUUUCUUGCUCUUUCUGGUUCGUUGAACGACAGCACAUGGCUUUGCACUUAGCUUUGGUGUGCUGUGCUGGGAGGGUGAAAUGCUUUGGUGGGCUGCUUCCAAUCCAAAUAUUGGAGGGGCCGCUAUUCAAAUAUACAGAGCAUAUUUUAGUGACGCAAGAUAUACAAUAUUGCACUAAAUGUAAACAGUUAUUUUCUCAUUCGGAUGUCGUGCGGAUGUCAUUGUAAACAUGAAGAAAAGUAGAGAAAGAUAAUAAAAAAUACAUGACAUUCGCACGGUAAUAACGUCUGGUCUGAACAUCUAUAUAUAUAUAUAUUUCAUUAUUAGUUGUUCAAUCUUUAACGUACACCUUAAGUGAAAUUAAUCGUCCUUUUCCAACUGAACUAUUUAAGGUACGAAUUGGCAGGCUAGCUUGUACGUGGAUCACCAAGGACCGCAUAAAAACAAAACUUCCUUACAGAUGCCUGAUUAACUAAAGCUAAGAUUUAAUUAAAGCUAAGAUUGGGGAAUGAGUCAGAUAGAGUGACCCAUUAAGCAAUCCACUCCACUAGAAAAUGAAUAAUUAAAUUAAAAGAGAUAAAAAAAGAAAACCAAGAGAACAAAUAGAUGAAGAAAAAUAGCAAGCAGAAAAAGAGUAUAGUAACUUUGGGACCCUAUGUUCCCUCUUCUAAAUUUUUCCCUUUCCCCGUGGACCCUGGCAAAGGAAAAAAUUGCCAAGUUUGGCUUAGGUCACAAUUCUACUAACUAAUUGAUGAUGCGUUUUCAUAUGAGGGAGAAGAAGAUUAAAAUAAAUAAAUAAAUAAGCAAUUAUAACAUUUAUCAUCUCAAAAAUCGAAACCAUAGCACUUGUUUUCAGGACAUUAUAGCUGCAGCCUGCAGGCAUUUUUGGACCACCUUAUCACAAUAUUUUUGUGUUAAAACCUCAAAAAUUCUUUAACUCUGUCCCUUUGUUUUUCAUUUGCCAACGUAUAAAAAGAAAAGUCCAUAUUAUUAAUUACAAAGAGAAUAUAACCUGCAAAUGAUCCACUAGUGUAGCGGUUUAGAGCAACUACUCUCUCAGGCAAGGUCUUGAGUUCGAGUUAUCUUAGCAUCCGUGUAGUGUAUGUGAGUUUAGUAUAUUAUCACCACUCUCAAUAGAAAAAGUCCUAAAAAAAAUAGAAUAGAACAUAACUAGCAUAUCUUCCCAUUUUGUAGAAGACAUUGGUUAAGAAUUCCAAUACAUAUGAAGACUCAUUUUCCCAUUUAUAUCUUUUCAUAUAAGUGUUUCUCCUUUCCCUUAUAUAUACAAGACCUAGACGGUUCCCACACACCAACAUCUAGCUACUUCUGAUAAUUAGAAAUUAAUUGAAAUGAGCAUUAUGCAUAUUUGUAGAAGAAGGUAAACAAAUAUUAAGAGACCAACUUUUGAAACAAUCUCUAUUAAGGGAAAUGGGAACAAUUUUGUGAUCAAACGGAAUUUGACUAAGUGGUUCCUACAAAUUUAUUAGGACCCAAAAAGUCUCAACUACUUUGAAGGGAAAUUUUGACAAACCUCAACAAGCUCAUUUUCUUAUGUUGGUUGACAUCUUAUUUCCACCACAUGAUGAGUUUUCUGACAAUUACCAAUGACUUGAAAUCUUACCCUUUUUGAGUUUUGAUCGAUAUCUCAUAGUACCAACUUUCUUGAGAGCUCUAUAAGGCAAAACAGACCCUUAACAAACCCAUGCCAUUGCCCCAAUUAGUACAAAUAUUUUCUUCUACCAAAUGAUUGAUGAGGCACAAAGAAAAAGAAGAGAACAAUUCGAAAGCAUAUUCCUUUGGUCUUUUUAGGAAAUUGGCAUAAACUAAAUUACCCUUAUUUUUAGUGCCCCAAAAAACCCAAAAGUUCAUGUUUAUUAAUAUUUUUCUAAGAGCAAAUGGCAUGCACUUUUUUAACACCCAAAUCACUUUUGGCACCAUCAAAGUACUAGUACUUGAGCAUCUGAGAAGGCACCAAGAAGCUAAAAUCUUCCUCUUAAACCCAUAGGGGCAAUAUAGUCAUUGAAAAGUUGAACCCCCAUACCUCUUUAUAUAUUGUUGAGGCACCAACCUCAUUUCUUCACACUAAACAAAAGAAAGAAAGAAAGAAAGCAAAUUACCAAAUAAGAAGAGAGAAAAUGAGUUCUGCAAGUUCAACCACAAGCCCCAUUUCAUCACCAGCCAGAAUCCACCACCUAUGGAAAUCUCCAUUGCCUUACCUCUUUGGCAGCUUAGGCCUAAUGCUGGUUGUGAUUUCUGUUGCACUAGUCAUCCUUUUUUGUUCAUACCGCAAACCGUCUUCGAGUGAAGAUGAAGAGGAAGAGAAGCCGGCAAAACCCUUGAACGCAGUGCUCGAUGAUGAGAGAAAGAUUGCAAUUGUCAUAAUGGCAGGGGAAGACAAGCCCACCCACUUAGCUACAGAGAUCAUCAUCACUUCACCAACUUGCUACUGUUCUUGCUCUUCUGAGACUGAUCAGAAAGCCUAAGGGAUCAUCUAGCAGCUAGAACUAGAAAAAAUUAAAAAGUUUUGGUCUACCCCUUACUUUGAUUUGAUCUUUCUUUCAAUUUUUUGUUUUUUUAGUUUCGUUAGUGUUGUCGGGAAUAUGUAAAUUGAUUAUGAGAGUUUUUCUCAGCAAAUCGUUAUAACCAAGGAGCUCUUUAUAUUAACAUGUAUGCUAUUGUUUUUAGCAUAACUUGGUUCUGAUAUAUUAACCAAGAAGCAUAGUUUUUUUUCCUUCUUUUAAUUGAGAUUGAGCAGAGAAACCUUGUUUUGUCUAAUGAGAGUAUUCAACCAUUUGAAAAGCUACACGUUAUCCCAACAGAUUUUAUAUAAAAAUUGUGUAAACAAAAAAAAAAAAAAGGACCAUUAGAAACUUUUCUAAAGAAAAAUAGAAUCUAAUAUGAAUAAUGCUACUCUUACCACAUUUGUAUACCACAUUCUCAUAUCACUUUAUGUGGCAUAUGAGGUGGACAACCACAUCAAUUAAAUUAAUUUAACAUUUUCUUUUCUUUUAUGAUUUAUUGACACUUUUUAAUUGAUGUGGUUGUCCACUUCAUCUGCCACAUAAAAUGGUAUGAGAAUGUGGUAUACAAAUAUGGUAAGAGUAGCAUUACUCAUCUAAUAUUGGUUUUGUAUAUGUGGAGAUUAUAUGCUUGUCUCAAGAUAAUCUAAUUGUAUAUAAACGGUUAUGUGGAGAUUUAUUUAUAAAGGUUCAACAUUGUCCUGAUAAUAUAUUAACUAUAACCAUCUUCAAGGAUGACAACAUCAUGUGCGUCCCAAUUGAAUUAUCGGCUCUAAUACCACUUAUUGAGAUCUACACUUACUAAAUCUCAUACAUGUUAAUAAAGAUAUUGUUCCCAACUUAAAUAAAUUUUUAAGUGCUGAAUCUCAUUGAAUAGCUUUGUAACGUAUUUUUUUUCCUAGCACAUAAUGAUUUGAUUUUUACUUAGAAUUCCUGAACUUGGACGAAAAGAGGAGCAAAGUUCAUGAACUAAAGCACUCUAAUUGAGAUUGGGCAGAGAAACCUUGUUUUGUCUAAUGAGUAUUCCACCAUUUGAAAAGCUACACGUUAUCCCAACAGAUUUUAUAUAUAAAAUUGUGUGAACAAAAAGAGGACCAUUAGAAACUUUUUCUAAAGGAAAAUAUAAUCUAAUAUUGGUUUUGUAUGUGUGAAGAUUAUGUGUUUCUCUUAAGAUAAUUCAAUUGUAUAAAUUAAUGGUUAUGUGGAGAUUUAUUUAUUUUUGAAGGUUUAAUAUUGUCCUGAUAAUAUGUUAAAUAUAAUCAUCUUCAAGGGGUGAUAAUAUCAUAUGUGUCCUAACUGAAUGAUCGGCUCUAAUACCAUUUAUUGAGAUCUACACAGACUAAUAAAUCUCAUACAUGUUAAUAAAGAUAUUGUUCAUAACUUAACUAUUGUAUAAAUUUUCAAAUGCAUAUAAUCUCAUUGAAAAGCUUUGUAACCUUUUUUUUUUUUUCCCUAGCACAUAAUGAUUUGAUUUUUACUUAGAAUUCCUGAACUUGGACGAAAAGAGGCGCAAAGUUAAUGAACUAGAGCAUUCUUUUAAUUGAGAUUGAGCAGAGAAACCUUGUUUUGUCUAAUGAAUAUUCAACCAUUUGAAAAGCUACACGUUAUCCCAACAGAUUAUAUAUAUAAAAUUGCGUGAACAAAAAAAGGACCAUUAGAAACUUUUCUGAAGAAAAAUAAAAUCUAAUAUUGGUUUUGUAUGUGUGGAGAUUAUAUGUUUGUCUCAAGAUAAUUCAAUUGUAUAAACGGUUAUGUGGAGAUUUAUUUAUUUAUGAAGGUUCAAUAUUGUCCUGAUAAUAUGUUAACUAUAUAUAACCAUCUUCAGGGUGAUAACAUCAUGUGCGUCCCAACUGAACCAUCGGCUCUAAUAUCACUUAUUGAGAUUUACACUUAUUAAAUCUCAUACAUGUUAAUAAAAAUAUUGUUCUUGACUUAACUAUUGUAUAAAUUUUCAAGUACAUAUAAUCUCAUUGAAAAGCUUUGUAACCUUCUUUUUUUUUUCCUAGCACGUAAUGAUUUGAUUUUUACUUAGAAUUCCUGAACUUGGACGAAAAGAGGAGCAAAGUUCAUGAACUAGAUCCUUCUUUUAAUUGAGAUUGAGCAGAGAGACCUUGUUUUGUCUAAUGAGUAUUUAACAAUUUGAAAAGCUACACGAUAUCCCAACAGAUUAUAUAUAUAUAAUUGUGUGAACCAAAAAAGGACCAUUAGAAACUUUGCUAAAGGAAAUUAGAAUCUAAUAUUGGUUUUGUAUGUGUGGAGAUUAUAUGUUUGUUUUAAGAUAAUUCAAUUGUAUAAAUGGUUAUGUGGAGAUUUAUUUAUUUUUGAAGGUUCAAGUUGUCCUAAUAAUAUGUUAAAUAUAACCAUCUUCAAGGGAUGAUAACAUCAUAUGUGUUCCAACUGAACCGUCGGCUCUAAUACCACUUAUAGAGAUCUACAUAAACUAAUAAAUCUCAUACAUGUUAAUAAAGAUAUUGUUCCCAACUUAACUAUUGUAUAAAUAAAUUUUCAAGUGCGCAUAAUCUCAUUGAAAAGCUUUGUAAUCUUUUUUUUUCCUAGCAUAUAAUGAUUUGAUUUUUUACCUAGAAUUCCUGAACUUGGACGAAAAGAAAAGCAAAGUUCAUGAACUAGAUCAUUCUUUUAUUAGAAAAUCCAAGGAAUUAAAAGGCUGAUCAAAAGAGCCAAAACUAGAUGUGAUAUUGGGAGGUGCAGGUUUGUCGAUGAUCCUCCUCAUCUUGGUCCUAUUGCCAAUCCAAGUCAUACAUAAUGCCAUUGGAUAACAGAGCAUCUGGGCAUGUGAAGAGCUCCCCCUUUCUGCUGUUUCGAAACAGCCUUUCAUCAACCACUGGCUAUGAGGCUAUGAGGCUAUGAGCCUACGAGCCUAUAAAAAAGAAUAAAAAACAAACCAUGACAUUGCUUUGCACUAAAAAGUUGUUUUUUGUUGCUGAAUAAAUUUUUAUUUUCAGUGGGCAGACGCGGCGGCUUGGAAAAUACACAAUAGGAUAAAAUGAUGGCUUCCACUGGGAAUAAUGGGGGACUUUAAUUUGUGAGGCUUAUUUUUCAACUACCCUUAUUAUAAUUAUAUAUAUAUGUGGAUAUAUUCUAAGGAUAUUCCAGGUCAAAAACUAGGGCUUUUAUUUUUUAGGGUUUAAAAUGUGAAACACUGUGGCAUGGACAACUCUUUGGUCAUAUCAAAUCCAGGCAUGGUGUAGAUUGUACCUUUCGCAACAGAAGCUUUUGUUUGCGGCUAGGUAUGUAGAUUGAUCAUCUUUGCAUCACCUUAUCUGAUCAAUUAUUUUUCUGUGCAGAUUGCAGAACAAACUAAUGGUAGGCAAAUGCACCAUUUGGAAUGAUCUGAGGGGGCCUCACCUCAAAAGGAAUGGCUAAGCACCACAAAAAAAAAAAAAAAAAAU
rnacentral:lncRNA from 1 species